UUUUUUUUUUUUUUUUUUUUUUUUUUUUGUAAUUGGCACUUGAAAUUAUGUAUUAUGAUUAAAAGAAUUUGGAAAUUCUAGUUAAAAAACCAAUUUGAUACUAUGUCAGUGUAUUGCUUAACAUCGCAAGAAUAUACUAUUAGAUAUAAUGUGACAAAUUGGAGACGUGGAAUUUGUCAAAUGGAGGGCGUAGCAAAAAGUGAGAGAAUUUAGAAGAAUCAGACUCAUAUUUUAUUGCAUCGAUUUACAAUGUUAUUGCAUCGAUUUAUUGAAACACUCAUACAAAAAACUAUGAGUUAUGAAAGGGGAUUUACAAUGUAAUUAUAUAACAGUAAUAGUUUUAUUUAUCAUUAUUCAAUAUAGAUUUUUGAAAUAAGGUUUUCACAAGCACAGAAGGAGGUUGUAGGCGACUUGCAAAAAUAUUGGAGGAGAUGGAUCCCAUCCCAUAUUGAUGGAAAAAGUCGAGGUAGGAUUUUUUGAUAAAUAUUGUAGCCAAAUCUACACACGCAAACACACAAAAACUACAACUUCCAUAAGGUAGUUUGACCGGUCAUGUAAUCCUUCUUUAAGACAUUGAUUAGUGUUCGAGUCCUAUGAUUAUCAUGUUCGGAGUGAAUUGGAGCGCCUUCUUUCGGACUGCAGCAGGGGAUUAGUCGGGUCGAAAAUCCAGAUAUCCCCUGUAUCGUCAGAAACAUACACACACACACAAACUACGCAUCGGGUGGUGAGGAAGGAUAGUACGGGAAACAAAGGAAAAGAAUGACUAAAACUGGGAAAUGCAAUAAGAAAACUUUUGGUACGGAAGGAGAAGAAGCGACCACGUCACUCCCGACAACCAGGGCCAGUAUAACCUCGUACCCCUGCCGACAAGUACACCCUGUACAUUUAUUUUUGGGAUAAUCUGAGAAGCCUCCCUUGUGGUUUCCACUAAUUACAGCUAGUACCCCUCUAAUUUUAAAAAUUACAUGGAUCGCACUUCAUUGAAUUCUUCUUCUUCAAUCAUUUUCCCACUUGCUCAAGCCCAAGGGUCCCCUUUACUUUUGUUAUUAUAUUGUAUAUCUUACAUUAAAAAAACAGAAAGGAUAACGACAUUUAAAAUUGUGAGUGAGUGUUAGGUUUUGUUGUAAUGGAUGGUCUCAUGCAUAAUUAUUUGGAAUCAUAAGUGCAAGUUUAUGACGUUCAAGUUGAUGUCUGCUGUUGCAGGAACAGAUAUGUAGAGUUGAACAGAGUUUUGCCUGUUCUUGUCAAAUAAAGCAUAAUUAUUUCUUUUUUUUAAAGAAAAACGCAGCAGGUAUAGAAUUUAAGACAUAGCAGGAGAAAGAAGUGAAAGUUUGAAUUCCAGACUUCUAAUUCUUGAAGUUUCAAUCUCGUUAGAGAGCUUAUUUUAGUAAAACAAGAAGUCGUGAAUUUUUCUUUAAUCAAUAAUAUUUAUUUUGAUUUGAUCGGUAUUCAAUGUAUGUUAGUUAUAUAUCAUGUCAAUCUCAAUGGCUGAAUAUUUUAGUGCCCAAGUUCCAUCCUCCAGCAGUAUUACUUCAUGGCAAUUCAUUCAAAUUCUCAAUAAUAUCCUGCAAAGUGCUAAACUUGGAGAGAAAUGAAAAGGGAAAAAAGAUAAAAUUGUAAACAUCAUCGUAUUUAGCAGUACAAGAAAAAAGAAACGAUUCCAGUCGCCUUUAGGAGUAUGCUUUACUUCUCGGUCAUCUUAUCCUGAAGAUAAAAGCUGCUUGGUAUUUAUUCCUACGAACACAUAUUCUCGAAAGUGAUUUUAGCUUUUUCGUUUUUGGUACUUAUGUACUUUUACCUUUAUGAUCGGUGGGUGACAACUAACAGCCUUCGUUGUUUACUCAGGGGUCAGCCCUUUCUGGGCAAGACUUGAGUAAUUCUUUGCCAAUUAUGAGAAGACGGGUUAUCUAGACCGUCAUCUCUUCUUGUUAGACUUUGAAAAUAUGACCUUUUCUUUUUCCUUUUACCAAAAAAAAAAAUAAAAAUUGUGACUCCUACCUAACAUAUUUCAUACAUUAUAGUUGUGGUCAUAAAGUAUUUGGAUUACAAUUUUUCUUUAAAAAUUGUUACGUUUUCUAUGAACACAUUUUUCAAUCACCUUUUUAUCUCACAUUUAUUUAAUCAGUACAGUAAUUUUUCUACAAAAAAUCCAGAAAAAUACAAUCCAAAACAAAACCUUAAGUCCCGUUUGAAUUGUAUCUUUUAAGAGUUUCUGGAAAUGUUUACAAAAAAAUUAUAUUGUAACACUUUUUUUUCAAACGCAAUGUAUGAAAAUGAAAAAGUAAUUGCAAUCUGAAUAAAUACUUGGUGAUUUUGAUGGUACAGGAGACUUGUUACUAACAUUCCUAAUUGAAACGAUAAAUUACGUGUAAGGUUGUACUAGUGAAAGUACUCCAAUUAUCAAUAUCAUAGCAAAAAUCAUAUUAAGAUUGAAGGUUUCAAGUUUCUUUAGGCGUACAGUAAAUGGAUAGGCUAUCUAAUUUCCAAAUGAGUUCCUCAAAAGUUCUAGCAACAGAGCACACUGAAAUGGAAUUGUACGCCAAUACAAAUUGACUUAAUCGAUAAGAACAAAUCACUCUCUCAUAAAAAUUUGUACGGUCAAAUCCUACUGUCGAUGUGAAGAUUAUAUUAAUAAGCAAUUUGUAAGAAUUCUCAUAAGCGUGACCUAUGGUUUCAGAACAUGUCUUUAUCUCGUAGUAGCGACCAGAGUGAGUCGAAGGUACCCAGAUUUAUACUACUAUUACCCAAAAAAAAAAAAAAAGAAGGAAAGGAAUUGUGACCGAUUUAUUGGAAUGAAACGGUGACUGGUCUUGGUUCCUUGUUAUACAAGUGUGCACGCCAUUACUGCAUGAUGUUGAAGUCUUGGCAAUGGUGCUUUUGUACUGAUAUAUAUCUAAAUCAAACCAUAGGAAGGAAUUUGAUAGAACAGAAAAGAGGAGAGUUCUAAGGUCAGAGGUUUACCCUAAGAGGAAAGGCUCCGCAUGUGUGAGGUGAAGAAAAUAGGAAGGACCGAUGCCAUAUCUUUCAUAGAUAUCUAGUAGUAUUGUAUUUUCAAUCAUCUUUAUUUAUUGCUCCCUUUCUGCUGGCGGAAGGGGACAAGAAAAUCUUUGGACGGUCCAGAUUUCAUAAUGCUCCUUUCAUUCCAUUUUUGGGGAGACGACGGUGAUAGGUCUUGUCUCAUUGGCUGAGUCACUGAUAACUGACAAGACAUCUUUCUGUCUCCAUUAAGGUUUCUCUUUCCUCCUUUGAGGGUUUUGUUUUCUUCCUUUUAGUUGUGGCCAAUGCCCUUAUUGCUCGAAAUUUUCAUAGCCCAUGACAUCAAGGAACAUUUAAUCAUCUUUAAACUUUAAUGAGGAUUAAUUACAAAAAUUAUCACUAGUAGAAUUAGAAUAUAUAUAUAUAUAUAUGGGAUAAUUUCAGAAACCUCCCUCGAGAUUUUUGACAAUUUCACUUAGUACCCUUGAAGUUUUCAAUAUUAUACAUACAUCCCUUGACCCUACAAAAUAACCAUAAUUACCUUAACAUAUUAAUAUUGUUCAUGCAAUUAAACAAUUCACUCCUAAUCUUGUUCACUUGAAUGCCUCACACAAUUAGACAUUUAAUGUAAACAAAAAUCUCGUGAAAUAACCGAUCAUGUCGUAAACACAAUAAUAACAUGUUAAAAAUUAAUUUUAGAUUUGCUUGGAGGAUCUGGAGAUGAAUAAAAGAAGAUGUAAAUUGGGUUUAAAAAGGAUAGGACUGGUAUUGAUACUCCAAUAUUUGAGGGAUAGGAUGUUAUAUUGAUGCAGUUAUUAAAAUUUUUUGAGUUUAACAGUGCAAAUUUUUUUUUAAUUUCGAUUGAUUUAGAAUUUAGGGAUUGAAGAUAGUAAUGGUCAUGGUGAUAAUGGUACUAAUUUAAAAUGUGGUAAUAUGAAAGGUUUAAAAUAGUAGAGAUAAGGGUUGAAAAUGAGUUUGAGAUUUUGUGCAUGUUCGUAGUUUUUGAAUAAUUUUAUAAGAAGAUAAAAUGAAUCACACAAUUUCACGAGGGCAUUUUGGGUUAUUCAUUCCAAAUUUUGAUCAUUAAAUAGUUUUUGUUACGAAAAUGGUAAAACUCGGAGGAGAUAUAUGUAAUUUUUCAAACCUUAAGGGAACUAGGUGAAAUUGUUAAAAACCUCAAGGGAGGUUUCUGAAAUUAUCCCUAUAUAUAUAUAUAUAUAUAUUUCUCGCUUUGUUCCAUUGAUUGUCCAAUAAGAUUUUAGCAACUUGAAAUUUGAUUUUGUAAUCUGAAAUAGAGCGCAUAUCGCAUAGAACACAGAUGAAUGUUGCAAUUGGAUCAAUUAUUCAUCGACUAGGGUAGAAUAUGUUAUCCUUCAUCAUUCCUUGGAGCAGGACAAUUAAGCUGUAACUAACUUGCUUGCUAAAGGCCGUAAAGGAUGCAUACUCUAUGUUACCUAACCUGAUUAACAAAAGAAAUAAUAAUGUACAACUCACAUAGGAGAGGGUUUGAAUAUCAUAUGUAUUUAUUCUCGUAGUCUGCGAAGACUUCAUCUGCCAUCUCUAACUGAUCAGAAUCGUUUUUACAUGCAAUAUUUUUUUUUUUUUAAUUUGAUAAAUUGUCAUGUGCUUCCAUGAGUAGGCAGCAAAUUUUCUGCAGGAAGCUGGAUGGUGCAAACAUGUUGACAUUAGUGGGCUAGAUUAUACUAAAACGAUGAUCUGUUGAGGAUAAUCUGACUUGCUUAUUAUGGAUUACUUGUAUGGUUUUGAGAGCCAAGAAAAGGAAUAGAAAAAGGAAAGCUUAUGCAUGAGAUGAUGUCAAUCUAUCUUCCUUAGUACUACUACUUAGUAGCAGUAGUAUUUUUCAAUUAUGCAAGCACCUCGAUGUUGCAAUAAUGUAAAGGUCAGGACUGCUUCUUUGAUAAUUAAACCUCAGUGGAUUGUCGGGAAUGACUACUAAAUUUAAUUGACUCUUCUUUGGAUGGUGUACUUUGUUUAUUGUUUAAACAUGAUGGUCUGUCUAAGCCCACGUCCUUAUGGGUUUUUAAAAUACUUUUUUAGAUAAUGCUCAAUUUGCCAAUUUCCGCUUCUUUUCAGAUGAGUUUACUGAUUCAAAAAAAAAAAAAAAGGGACAUGAAUUUAGAGUGUUGCAGCAAAGAAAACUUAUAUACUUUUGGCACCACCAUGAAUUUGGAUUUUGGUGGGAUUCGGAAUCCUCUAGUUCACAACUAAAGAAAAACAAAAUUUUGUGCUCAAUCAAUAAUGUUUUUUCUUGAUUUAAUGAGUCUUUUUUUGUUUCCCUAAGAGCAUAACAUGUUAAAUAACAAAGUCGACUUUUAUAACUUUGACUUUACUAUGAAAAGAAUAGUUAGAAGAAAAUAUGAAUAAGGUGGUAUAAUGUUCAUCUAAAGUCAAUGAUCAGUUUAAAAAAAAAAAAUUUAAGUCCAUGAUCAAUAAAUUUGGCCACGAAAAAGUCAAACUUUGUUUUCACAUCCACCAAAAUCCAAAUUCAUGGUGGAUUGAAUGGCUGAAUGGUUCACUCGUAAAAUUGGUUCCAGUAAGAUCUUUAACCUGAUAAUUAAAUAGUGCAUUAAAAAAAAAGUGCAUCUAAAAAGUAACUUACGAUAUUCCAAUUAAUUAUUUUUAGCAUAAUUAGUGAUUCGGCCUGCAAAACUUUGUUUAUCCCCUGGAUUAAUUUUGCAAAACUUAUAUAUCCCUAUGAACAUGGCCUGUUCUCCUGGAAUUUGGUAGACUGAAAAUUGAACACGAUUUUCUUUUCCCAGGCAUGCCCCAUAAACAUUUUAAGUAAAGAUGAGCAGCAUCAAGCCAACUGCCAUUGCAUCUCUCAGCUCCUUACUGAGAAGUCACAGCACAGCUUGAAACAAGUUUCCCUUAUAUCUAUGACACAUAAAUUAAGCACAUAUAUAUUAUCUGUGCUAAUUAACAAGGUGAAAGAACAAUUGAUUAAAGAAAAAAGGUAACUCAAAAAACUGACAUCUUUUUCUAACAGACAAAAAAAACUGGCUUCUGCCAGUACCGUUGGUGGGAUUUGGUCUGAUUUACUGCUAUGAAUCCAAGUACAGGUCUUCUUCAUGCCUUUUCACAAAUCUUGCAUCCAUUUUCGUGUCGUUGGAAAGUUUCCCACACUACUCUAGUACAUCAUCCGUGCAUAUAUGUGAACUUUUUAAUAAUGCUAUCGUUGAUUUAGUCAUUGCUACUAGUACAUUAGUUGCAUGAAAAGCAUCCAGAUGAUCAUUAAUAUUUCGUUACUGAUUCUGAUCCAGCCAAACCAUUUGAGCGAUGUCAUCUUAGUACAAACCGUACAUUAAUUGACACCCACUUAAAACACCACACAUUUGUCUCACAAUUCAACGGAGUUGGAUUCUUUCAAAAGAGGAGGAAAAAAGAAAAGAAAAGAAAAGAAAUUGAAGAUGGGUAUGCAAAUAUUUCUUUUUGCCUUUGUCCAUGAGCAAAUGUAAGGAAUAGAAGUAGAAAAAGGUUGCCAUUUUUUCUCUUUCUUUCUUUUAGUUUUUGUUGACAUAUUUUAAACCAAGCAUCUUUAUAAUUUUAAUAGUUUUAGAAGUUGAUUUGUUAUUUGGUAACUAGUUUAGAAUUGGUGUCAAAGUUGGUUUAGAAAAUAGAGUUGAGUCAUUAUAAUUAGAAUAGGAUUUGUGGUUAUAUGUUUCUUUGUUUAAGCACUUGGAGUCCUUGGUUUGUAGUUUAGGAAAAUUAGUAGAUUGAAACAGAAUAUUUUGUUUCACGUGCCUUUCCUAUUGUUUAUUAUUUGUAAGAUUUUAUUGGUACUUCCGCUGCGUAAUUUUUUGUGCUAACAAGUGGUAUUAGAACCCUAAAUUCAAGAGUUUGAUUUUGGGGUGUCUGUAGUGCAUGGAAAGUUUACAAAGUUUUUGAUAGAGGAACCUGUGCCAUAGAAGGGUGCAGAGGUUAUGGUAGAAUACUAGUAUAUUGAAGAAUUGAACCAUGAGAAUUGAUCUUGGAGUAGUCGUUUAUUGAUUGGAAUUACGGAAAAGUGACCCUAAUUGGACAGAGUUCUAAAAAGAAGGACUUUGUUGAAAUUGUUCGUGUUGUGCAGUGAUCUAUAAAAAAGGUCCUACUAGAUUGUUGAUUGUCACGGUAGUGUUUGAUCAAACCUAAAGCCAGAGAGGCCAAGAAACUCAAACAAACGAAGAAAAUUUUUGUGAAGUUACAUAAAUUGUUUUGAGUUGUCAUGAAGAGAGAAUUUAUCGAUGAAGAAAAUUAUUACUAUAAAGAAGAUUAUGAAAGGCAUGAUUUAUUAGUUAAAAGUUAUGUGGAUUGUUAUUCAAGAAAAUAUGGUGGCUCUAAUUGUGAAAGGGUCGAUAUGGAUGACUUUUUUGAUCGAGGAAAAUUAGUAACAAAAUUGCAUGCAGAUAGUCCACUUCCACGCAUAAAUAUGUGGAUGGGUAUCAGUUGCAAAUUGGAGUUACACUUGAGUUAUACUGCUACAGAUGCUGCAAAGGCAAUUCAAACUCGUGAUGGCAUUAGAUCCUUAUUACAUGAAGAAUAAGGUUUAAAGAAGACAUUGUUGAUAUAUUUUAAGCCAAACAUAUUUAGAAUUUUAAUACUUUUAGAAAUUGAUUUGUUAUUUGGUAACUAGAUUAGAAUUGGCGUCAAAAUUGAUUUAGAAAAUAGUUGAGUCGCGCUUCGAUAUUAUAAUUAGAAUAGGAUUUGUGGUUAUGUUUUUUCUGUUUAAGCACUUGGAAUCCUUGGUUUUGUAGUUGAGGGAAAUUAGGAGAUUGAAGUAGAAUAUUUUUGUUUCCUCUCUUAUUUUUUAUUAUUUAUUAUUUGUAAGAUUUUAAUAUUACUCACGCGCUGCGUGAUUUUUUGUACUGACAUUUUUGUUUUGGAAUAAGUGAAGUUAAUUCAUAUAAAGUUGCCUUUUCAUGGGAUAGAAAGGGUCGGAGAUGCCACAUAAGGUGGGAGGCUAGGCACAAAAUAAAACUGGCAAAGUCAAACACGUACGUGAUGGCUGCUUCCUUUCUUGUUCUUCUUUUUGUCCAUUUAAGGUGCCAUACCAGAAGAAGAAGAAGAUAAAGAGUGUUUCUUUUCAGCAGUAUUGGGCAACCUCUUAAUACUAACAUUGAUAAAACCAACUUACCUUACCACUCAUCUGAGCUAUAAUUGGUCCCAGAAAUAAAAAUUUGUCCGCAUUUUCCCACGUUUUUAUCAACCUAGCCCACCUUGUGCUUCAACAUUUGCACAAGUACGUUCUUUAUGUCAUGUCAAGAAAACAAGAUAUGGUUUCUGACUUUGGUGCUUUGUGGCCCAUAGAGUAAGAAAUUAUUUAGAGUAAUAGUAGUAUAAUACUGUAACAUUUUUUUACAAUUUGAUGUACGUGUGUGACAAAAAAAUACUACCAUUUUUUGAAGUUUUCGUAGAAAGAUGUACUGUAGUAAUUUAAUAUAUGUGAGGUAAAAAAAAUAAUUGAAAAAUAUGAUUACAGAAAACUUAAAAAAAAUUUUUGGUAAAGAUGUGAUUGUGACAUGUAUUUACUUGUUUGGAUUGUCAUUUUUUUUCAAAAACUUUUAUGUUUUUUUUCCAUUAAUACAUUUUCCAAUCAUCUUUUUAUCUCACAUACAUCAAAUCGUUACGGUAUAUUUUUCUAUGUGUUUGGAUAGAGUAUUAUUUGAAAUAAUUUCUGUAACGUUUUUUAUUAUGUAAUGUAUGUGAGAUAAAAAGAUGAUUAAAAAUAUAAAAAGACGAGUUACAAAAUGUGUUUAUGAUAUAAGUAAAAUAUUAUUUGAGAUAACUUAACUAUCCAAACACACUUAAAAAAAAACUCUAGAAAAUCACAAUCCAAACGGUAAUUUUCCUCAGCCUCCUAGAUUUUACCUCACAUUUCGUUGCCAAUGUAAUUUUCCUUGAUUUAUCAGUUUGCCUUCAUUCUUGAGGAAUAAACAAGUAACCUAUUAGUUGAAGUAGGACACACUCUGGACUGCCACGAUACUAACCUGUGUGUGAUUAGUAAACUUCAGCAAACUAUUAUUAUAUAUUUAUAGUCCAUUUGGAUCCUUCUCUCUUUUCCUUUUUUUUUUUAACCCCAUUUACCUAAAAUAAGCUGUACCUAACUUUAUAAGUUGCAAGCAUUAUCGAGGAACCCUUAUGUUUCAGGUUAGCCGAACUUUUAGUUGGGUUUCAGUUGAAAAUUCAGAAAAAAAAAAAGGGAGAAGAACGAAAAUGGAAAAACUGACUUUAACUCAAUAGUCAACAUUGACAAAAAAUGUAUAUUUCUAACACUUAGAUCUUGUUGUCUCUUGUUUUAGAUUUUGGAUAAAUUGAUUAUGAAAAGUGAUAACAAUGAAUGAGUGGUAAAAAUGAGCAAUCAACAAUAAUGUUAAAUUGCUUAUCAAACAAAACCAAAUUGUUUUGGAAAUAACAACCUUUCACCACAUUAGUUAUAAUCUAACUAUCUUUACUGUCGUUUUAAUAAACAAUCAACGUUAGUUAGUGUGAUUGAUUUGGACAAAACUUAAUAAACCAUAUGUGAUUGUUCCUUAAGUUAAGCGAACCCACUGCUAUUCUAGCAUACAACAUAUGUUUUCAUACCUGCGUUUUCCUAAUCCAUUGGGCAGCAAUCAACACAUCUACGGUUCAUCUAACCUAUCAUAUAUACAUAUAUAUACACACACACAUACAUACUAACAAUUACUAUCCUGCAUUAUAUUUAUAUACUUUUUCUAGUUAAUCUGACCUACCGUCCCUUAUAUUUAUUUACUUUUCCUGAUUAAUCUUAUAUUUUUUUAAAAUAUAACUCCUGAAAUAUAUUUUUACGAGUACUCAACGGGCACUCGCUAGACAAACCCUUUGUACAUUAACAUUCAAAGUUGAACUUCCAUAUUUUGACGGUGCAGGAUCCAUAAUAAAUGGCCAUAAUUAGAUAAAAUUGGACAGCAAAAGAUAUAAAGGACACGACAAAAAUUUUUCAAUAGAUACCAUUAGCUAAUAAUACAAACUAAAGAAAAAAGAAAAGGAUUCGUACGCUAAUACAUCAUAUUCCCUUGUAAGAAAAAUUAUCUGUCAUGGCCUUCCAAUGUCAAUUGAUCCGACUUUUUCUUAUGUUCUCCACUCAAAGUUUCGAUAAAUUCAAUUGCUUGGAUUGCCUUUUUUUCUUCAAAAAAUAUUUUUUUUUUAUUUUUAAUAAACAUAUUUUUCAAUCACUAUAUUAUCUCACAUACGUUAAAUUGUUAUAAUAUAUUUCUGUAUAAAAAAAACUCUGAAAAUCAGAAAUAUGCUCCGAGACGAAAGAGGUUCUUUUCUUUUGUAUAAUACGCUAAUAUGUUUUAAGCCACAUAUUCGUACUCGUUAGCAGUCCUACUUGAACUUGUUUAUUCUUGGCUUUCUUGAUAAAUUUGGCAAUUUGAUCGAAACCUGGCAAUUGACGGCUCCUGCACGUAUUAUUAUGUGGUCGUGGGAUCCUGCGUCGGGAUAAGACAAUCCUAACCGUAGAAAUAAGUUUGUUGUGGCUUGGACCAUUCAAAAUAUCUAGCUAGGUUUUGUGUUGAUUAGUUCGACGGGGCGGUCCUGUGACUUUCUUGGCAUCAAAAAGAGUAGAAACCCAGUUUCCUUAGUCAACAAUAAUGUCCAGCAUGUGGCAUUCAUAUUCUACGAUAGACCAAAUUGAGGUGCCUCUCCCUCCAAUUUUUCGUUUUCCUUUCCAUUUUUGGCUGUCUACGCAGCCUACAAAGCAACAGGGGAUUAACGUGGGAAACUUUCCAACUUCAAUGUAGUAUGAUUCUUGUGAUUCAAACAAAAAGUGUCAAAAAUGCAACAUCCAAUUAUGGAAACUUACAAUAAUGUUGUUCCGUUUUCAGAUGCACAAGUCUGCCGACAUCAAGCUAGCAAAAGAAUUUUUCAUCACAUUUUUAGCAAUUCAUAUGCAGCGUCUGUAUCGAGAGAUUUGACGAAGGAUUUGAAAUUCUCUCAAAUCUCAUAUGAGCUGCUUUACGAAGUCAAAAGAAUUUUUCAUCACAUUUUUAGCAAUAAUGUAAAUUCUCAUAUGCAGCGUCUGGAUUCAGUGAGAGAGAUUUGACGAAGGAUUUGAAAUUCUCUCAAAUCCCUCUAGUUGUUUAGAUUACUCAGAAAAGGAGGUAUUUAAAUUUAUAAAUUUACUAAGUAUUCUAGUAUUUAAAAUAUAUUUUGAUAAUCGGUGAAUUACAAGCCCAAAUGCUUCUUAAACGACCAGAGUGAUUUGGGCGAAUUUCAACUUCUUUCGUCAAAUUCCUCAAUUCUAAACCGCGCCAUGAAGUUUGAAGUUUCCUUUUAAACCAGAAAAUAUUUUCUUUAAUCUAUAUGAUGCGUGUGUUGGUGAAACUAGCCUGUAAUGAUUGGAUAGGGGUAGUUUUUCACAAACAAAAAAUAAUCCAAAAUCUGUACUUUGAUCGCAUUGAAUAAUUAAAAUGCAUGCUUAAUUUGUUUGAAAGUGAUACUUCUGAUGGCUGUGGAAGAGGUAAUCAGCUUACCAUUUCGAGUAAAACGUUGAACGUGUGUAUACUAUGACGAACACAUUUUCAAAAUGUUCAAAUUAAUGGAUUAAGACGUAAAGCAAGAUGGGUUCAACUAACGAAAUGUAAAGGUGGAUUCUAUCAUCUAACCCGACAAACGGGUGUUUGAAGGACGAAUCCAUUGACUGAAUGUAAUCAUUACAUUGUGAAAAAGUUGAUAGUCGGGAUUUUUAUCUUGGGGGUAAAAAAAUUAAGAGCCCGCUCUAUGAUCGUUGUUAUUUAUAAGAGUUUAUAUAUAUAUAUAUAUAUAUAUAUAUAUAAAAUAUAUACUAUAAUAAUUUGAUAUAAUAUAUAUAAAAUAAAAGAUUGAUUAAAAAUUGUGCGCUGCUAAAUCUAUAAAGUCAAUUGACUCUAGAAGGAGGAGGCCUUCUAGCAGACUCUCUAUCGCUCACCAGAAGUGUCUACCACGGUUGUAUGUAACAUAUUGAAAUCUAUAUAAUAAUAAAAUAUCUAUUCCACUUAAAAGAUUGUGGAAGGAGUUAGAUAGUAGUGAAAGUAAAUGAAAUGAGGCUCAAGAACAAGACUGCUGUCCAUUGCUUUACCUACUUUAUAAAUUACACUACUCUUUAACAAUUUGAAAGCCAUAUAUAUCCUGGGUUUGUUUGUACAGGAGAUUAUUUGAAAUAAUACUCUAAAACUAGUCAUUUUGUUUGGAUUAAUUGUUUUCAGGAGUGUUUUUAAAAAAUUUUACUGUAGUAGUGUAUAUGAAAAAUUUUUACUAUAAACUUUUACUAUGGAAAGUGGUGAAAUAGUUGGCUCUCAUGUCAUGAGAUGAGAUGUGGGAAAGAAAAAGUUUUACUACCAGUACUGUUUGUCCGUUUCGCUACGAGUAAAAAGAGAUGGUUGUACUACUAAUAAUGGCAUUCCAUUCGAGGUAGACAAAGGCACAAAAUAAAGGAAGCAGAUGCUGAAUUGAGAAAGUGAAUAGUCUUUGAAUGAAACAGUUGCCUGAGGCCUAACCAGAAAUAGUUAAAAAGUACAUAAAUUAAUCAUAGAAUUGUAUUCCUUUUUGGACGAAAAGCAGAAGCUGGAGGAGAAUCUUAACAUAUCCGAUCCGGGUGUGUAGAAGAUUAAAAAGUGCAGCGGAUUGGGUUUUUUUUUUUUUUUUUUUUUGGUUCGUAAAUUUAAUCAAGUUUGGAAGUUGCAGAUUCUCAUACCAUCCCUGUAACAAAUUAACAACCACACCACACCACACCCCUCACAGAUUCCUCUCUCUUUCACUCUCUCUCUCUCUCUAUAUGUAUAUAUAUAUAUAUAUAUAUAUAUACACUAACAAAAACACAAACACACACACUCAUGUCUCAUGACUCAUGAUAUAAAAUAAAAUAACGUAAUUGAAAAAUAAACCAGUUGCCACGUCGGGCUGUCUCAACUCUUUCCCUUACUAAACUACCCUACGCGGUAAAGUGGUAGGGGUAGGACUACCCUACAUGCACAAAAUCGAUGACCACAACCAAUUUGCCUGACCAUUUACUUGAGAGUGUAAUGCACGUAAAACCUUAGAAAUUUUGCCUUGUGAAAAUUGAUCCAUCUCAAUUUACCAAGACAACCUAGCUGAUUUUUCCGAAGAAUAAAAAGAGGAUUUUUCCGUCGUAUCAUAGAUAUAAAUAUAUUUUUGAAACCAAUUUAUAAUUUCAAAUACAUCACAUCACAAAAUGGUGCUAUAAUAUUAUUUUAAUUUUUUUUUGUUUUCAGUAGUAUAAUCUUCUAUCCAAACACACUGUUCCUUUCCUUCCGAGUGUCAAUAGACAGGCUGAAUCUGAGAAUUCCAUAUGCAAAAGUUCUUUUAACCAGGCAUAGUUGCCUAAAAUUUGAGGAAAAUAUUAUAGGUUUUCAAAUAUUUAUAUCAUCUCAAUUUUUUUAAAAAUUAGCAAUUAUAUUUUUGUCACGUCAUAUUCAGAAUUUGGUGUUGAUGCUUUGCCUUUAACGAUUCAGCAUAUAAUUUCACGAACACAUACAGGGCUAUUUUAACAAUUCAGUAACUUCUACAUAAACUAGAAAGUUUUUUUUAUAUAUAUAUAAGAAAGAUAAUGUAUAAAUUAAAAAUAUAUUAUAACGAUUUGAUUUAUAUGAAAUAAAAAGAUGGUAUAGAAACGUAUUCAUAAAAAAAUAAACAUUUUUUUUGGAGAAAGAAUGUCAAUCCAAACAAGUCACAUCACAAAUGAGUGAGUACAUGGUAAAAGGUUUGCUAAACUCCAUUCCUAGCUCUAGCUCUCUCCUCCUUAAUGCGUCUCUCCCUACAGCCAAAAUGUUAUCCACCAUGUACGCACACUUGGGCAUUUUCCUCUUCUCUUCUCCUCCACUUUUCCUCUCUAUUAUCACCAAACUUCAUAGCCCCUAAUCCAACUCCCCUCCCUUCCCCUCCCCAAAUAUCCUCCCCACCUCCUCUAUAUCUCUCCCUCUCCAGAGCCCAUGGGUUUCUUGUAGUGUAAUGAAAGUGUGAAACCUCCAAAAACAAACAAAACUGGACCAAAAACUUCUGCCAUCAGCUCCACAGCUUCCAAUUCUACCAACAACAAGACCUUGCACAACCCACAACCAAGAACAACACCAAAACCAAUACCAAUACCCAUCUCUCAAAAACUCUCCCUUUCAUAACUCACAGUUUUUUGUAUGAGUGUUUCGAUAAAUGGACUCUGCGAAGACACUUCAAAAGCCGGCAACUUUUGAAGUGCUCCGCAGCACUUAACUACUAAACCCCCCAAACCCCCCCAAGCGAUGUGGGAACUUAACCCCACAGGGUGCCCCGCUGCUAAGAGAUAAAGACCCCCCAGACUCCCCGAGACAGGUUUUUCCCUUUCAUAACUCACAGUUUUUUGUAUGAGUGUUUCGAUAAAUGGACUCUGCGAAGACACUUCAAAAGCCGGCAACUUUUGAAGUGCUCCGCAGCACUUAACUACUAAACCCCCCAAACCCCCCCAAGCGAUGUGGGAACUAUUUUAUAGAUAUAGAUAGCUACAGCUUACAAGAUACAAGCCUCCAACUAUUUUAUAGGUAGACUAGGCUAGAGUAGCCUUGCCGCCCCAACCCUUUUUAUUUUUAUUUUUCUUUUUUUCUGGGGUUGGGUUGGGGGUGGAGACUAGACUCUAGAGAGGGCAAUUUCUUGAAUUUUGUGUGGUCAUCUAACUGCCUGAAGUCUGAUUCUGAACCGCCCAGCUGCUGCUUUUGUGAUUGAUAUAUACUUACCCCUCAAGGGAGUCUGUCUUACCAUUUUAUUUUUCCUCUCUCUUAUAUGGUUAUAUUCUCUCUUCUGAUCAGAUCUUUCUCUCUCUCUCCCAUGAGCAUGUGAUCCUUCUGAAAAGGUACUUAUCUGAAACUAACAACAGACACCAGAAAAUCAUUACCUACAGACAAAUCCCAAUAAUACUACUGUAGUAUUCAUUGAUUGAUAAUAACAAAGAAAGAGAAAGAAGAGAAGAGGAGGAGGAGAAAAUGUUGUUGGAUCUGAAUAUUGAUGCUGAUGCUGCAGCAGCAGCAUCAGUGGACUCAGCUUGUGAUGAAACCGACCCUUUUCCUUGCCCCGUCAAAACCACCGCUGCUGCUACUGCUACUUUGUUAACUGAUCAUGAUUCCGGGGCCUCAUCGUCCGUCCUCAUCAUAGCCGACGAAGAAUCCAACAGCUCCUCCCCACCGACUCAUAACCAACCCCACCACCGUUGCACAACCACCACUCUCAAUUUCUCCAUCCUCAACACCACUGGGGAAGACCAUAUCAUCCAAAUUCUUGACAAUGAUCAAGAUUUCGACAAUGAUGAUCAUCGUCAAGGUUUGAUGACUAGGCAGUUUUUUCCUGUUGUCCCCAACAAUGACCCAUUCCCGUUCCCCACCACGACCACGACGACGACAGCCAGGCCUCCACAAUGGCUCAAACUGUCCGUGCCGGAGGCCGCCGCUGCUGGGGAAAUUGGUGGGAUAUAUAACAAGGGUCAGCAGCAGCAGCAACAACAACAUCAGCUUGGUCAGCCGUAUCAGCAGCACCAAGUAGCUGGAGGCGGUGCGAAGAAGAGCAGGAGGGGGCCUAGGUCGAGAAGUUCUCAGUAUAGGGGUGUCACGUUUUAUCGGAGGACUGGCAGAUGGGAAUCCCAUAUCUGGUAUCUGUUCUAUGCUACACUUUGCAGUUUACAGGAAGAAAAAAACCCAUCCCCCCAACCAUACCGUGUCAAUGGCUUCUUGGGACUUUGUUGUUUGUGUUACAGAUGUAUUCAUAUUUUGCGAAAAUCAAGCUGUUUGUGGGAAUUUAUUUUCUACAUAAACUACUGCUCCAUAUGGUAUCGUUUAUUGUGCCGACUUCUUUUCUUUUAUGUGUGUGAUUGUCUUAAACUUUAAUUACGUGAUCUUUCUUUUCUUGUUUUUCUUUUCUUUUGCUUAUUUACCCUUCAUGCAUUUAGGGGUAGAAUCGGAAUGGUAGUGAGAAGAGGGGUUUUCUUCCCCCUUGCUUUUGGGGAGCGGGGGUUUUGGGAAUGAUAAUCGAGCUUUCAAUUUCAUAAUUAUGGAAGAGUGUUUUGACAGCUACAUCUCAGUUAUAAAUUGUGUGCAAGGAUUCUUUGCUGUCGAUUUGUUUCUUGGUAAAUUCGUGAAUGACUAGGGUAACGUCUAAACUGCUUCUUCUCUAUCGUCUCUUUUUUAUUUUGAAUUUUGUGGGACUCUAAAUCGAUUAAUUUUGAUGACAGUAUGGGAUAGUUCUCUGAUAGUAUUCAUAGGACUAGUAUGCAUUUCUUUGUCUUAAACAUUUGGGCCUCCUACUCCUCCUUGAUUGUAAUUGUAUCUUUUGUUUGUGGCAUUAUGAACAGGGAUUGCGGGAAACAAGUGUAUUUAGGUAAGCGGCUUAAGAUACUGAUUUACGACUCAUGUAAGUCUUUUCAUUAUUUUGCGAUUUUAAUUUGUAGUGCAUUUGCUUUUUCAGGAGGAUUUGAUACAGCUCAUACUGCAGCUAGGUAAUCAUCUUUUUUAGGGAAAAGAAUAACCAAUAAAAGAAAAAUGUUUCUAGUACUUUCAAGUUGAUCUUGCUACGAAAAGCUCAUUUUACAAGUUUUCGCUCCCUACUUUCCUAGCUGAUUUUAACAAUUAUUGUUCAGAGCGUAUGAUCGAGCAGCAAUCAAGUUUCGAGGUGUUGAUGCUGACAUUAAUUUUCAUAUCAGCGAUUAUGCAGACGAUUUGAAACAGGUUCACUUCUGCUGAUAAAUUUCUAGCAUCAGUAAGGUCAGAUAAUGCAAAUAAUGCAACAUGCGUUCCAUGUUAACCUUCAUUAAGUUGAUGUACAGAUGCAAAACUUGGCAAAGGAAGAAUUUGUUCAUAUUCUUCGUCGUCAAAGCACUGGAUUCUCGCGCGGGAGCUCAAAGUAUAGAGGAGUUACCCUACACAAAUGUGGUCGCUGGGAGGCUCGGAUGGGCCAGUUUCUUGGUAAAAAGUACGUGUCCAGUAACACUACAAAUUCUAAGCUGCUUUUGGUUGGCCACAUGUAAAUAUAGAAGCAGUAGUCUCAUCCUUUGUACAUGAAAUUACCAAACCUGUAAAAAUGUUAAUUUCCCAACGAUUGUUAUGCACACUAUUUUGCAUGGAUAUUACUUUAGAUGGUUUCGAAAAUAAUGCUUGAGGGCCCAUUCUUCAUCAUAUGAGAUAACAACGGUUGGCUGCAGGUAUAUAUAUCUUGGGUUAUUCGACAGCGAAGUAGAAGCUGCAAGGUCCUUAACCAUAAAUCAAACUCCUUGAGACUGAUUUUCUCACUCUGAAAUGAAAAAUAUAGUUUUUAUUGGGCUUCAUCCAACAAUAUUUCCAUUUUGUAUUUUUCCAGGGCAUAUGACAAAGCAGCUAUCAAAUGCAAUGGAAGGGAAGCAGUCACGAACUUUGAGCCUAGUGCCUAUGAGGGGGAGAUCAGUGGAGCUGCCAAAGAUGGAGGUAUGCUGAUCGUAUACGUAUUUUGCUUUCUCUUCAUUCAACCCUUUCAUCACAUGAUUGAAAGGAGCAGGCUAUUGACGUGGUACGGUUUCUGUUCUUGACCCACAGAUGCAGGUAGAGGUGACAAUCUUGAUCUCAACCUGUGGAUUUCUCCAGCUUCAGAUGGGCAGAAGGAAAUUGGUGAUUCAAAAAGUUCCUGUGCCCAUUAUGCAGCUUCUGAUGACAAAAUGAUAAAGGUAUCUCUUCAUUGAAGUGAUUAGCAAUUGAAGUUCUUUUCUUUGUUGUUUAUACUUUAAUCUUAAGAUUUAUCCAGAAGAAAAGAUGAACUGCUUCCAAGCUUUUGGUAGUCUUACAAUCGUUGUAAGAGCCAUGAAAUCUUUUUCUACUGUUUUAGGAACUUCGAGAAAUUCUGGUACUCAGAUUAUCUUCUCCUAUUCCUUGGCCUCCUUAAAAAAUACUUCGACAGGUGGAGAACUCCUUCAAUACUCCUGAAUAUCUACCAAUGGCAUCGCAAGAUUCUUCAGUUUGGACCCACACAUAUUCUGGUUUUGGUCCAAAGAAUGAGGUAAUUCUUUACUAACAUGAUGUCCGUGAACAGUUUUUCAUUAUACCAUAUAGGAGCUAUUUCUAACUUUCAAACUUCAGAAAAUUUAAUCUCUUAUAUAUAUAUAAAGUUGAAAAGUAAAUUUUGUGUUGUUUUACCAAUCAGUUCAAAUGCAUCUUCAAUUGUUAUUUUAUUGAACUACUUUCAGAAGAGUGAAUGGUCCUCAUGCUUCUCCAUUUUUCUUGAAGUAAAGGCUUGACUUUAGACGAUUCUUUUUCUUUCAACUUUUUAUGAUUCUGGGUUGUGGUCAAGAUGAAAACAAAACAAAGAGAUAAAUCUGGUUUAUCUUCAUAAACGUGAUGUUAAGACAUGAAAAUCCAUUUGACAGGAAAGAGCAAGGAAAAUGAGGCCUGAAGGCAUUCCGAUACCAGGAUUAUCAAACUGGCCAUGGAAAAUGCAUUGCCAUGGUGUGAUCACCUCGGUGCCUUUGUUUCCUUCUGCAGCAUCAUCAGGAUUCUCCACAGUGACUGCCACUUCAACCACGCUUGUGUCAACGAAUGCCCCAAAUAAGAUUGUCCACACCUCUGCCUUCCAGCACCCUCCUUUGACCCUUAAUUACAAUUAGCAAGCAUCAUCAUGAAGUACAACCUCUUUGAACAACGUUUGUUGGGGCUUGGAAUUCAGCUGGCAAAGGAAUCCACUCUGUUCAGUGCGGGGUUUCAUUUCUUCUAUGAUUCAUGCAUAUAUGAUAGAAACAAAGAUAUUUUGAACAUAUACAAUGGGGUAUAGGUUAGUGCAAAAUUGUGUAGAAUUGCUGCCAUGAGAAUUGUUGUAUAGCCAUUCACACUGUUUGGAACGUGGAAGUGCUCCACUGACUGCAAAGAAGCACGGCUUCUCUUGAGCAAAGAACUCAAGCUGGUUCAGUCCUGCUUGACCUAUACAAUGUUACCUAUACUACAAAUGGAAACUUGAGGUAUGCCAAAGCUCAUACUUCUAACUGGUGGUUUAAAGUCACUCUUUUAACUGCAAAAUGAAACUCGUGGUUUUUGCUCAGCCUGGUUUUGCACGGUGUUGUUUUACCGUUGCUCUAGAGAGUUUUCUUGAAUUUGUUGUGGUGAAGAUUCAUCAUGGAGUAUACGAAGAAAUAGCAACCGACACAGAUCCUCCAGAACUCAGGAAUUUGAGGGAUGGGGCUACUUUAAACUUCCAUCAGCUAUUAAACACUUCAGCAUCCAAUUCUUUUGCAUCCAAACAGAAAGAAUGCCAAAUAACAGAAGCUCCGUAUUACAUCAAGGUCCUAAAUCAAUUGUGCACCAAUGAAUUGCUGUGGAAUGUGUGGGAAAUUUCAUCAUCAAAAAAAUCAGUCGUUAAUUGCUUCCGGCGCCUUCAACAAUAUUUGAAAGAAAUAAAAAAAAAAAAAGAUAAACGCUGCUGCAGAUAAGAGAUUGGGCAGUUCUAAGUGCAAUUGCAAGCCCCACUCCAAUGCUUCACGCAUUUUUUUUUCCCAGAGUAAUCCUUCAGCAGUUUUGCUGUGCUCAAGCAGGCUACUGAGAGCUUGUCUACCCCCAAUGCAAUAAGGAACCUUUAGGCUUUAUUUGAUUAGUAGUAGGAAAGUUGCGCAGGAAGCGAAGUAUAUAUAUAUAUAUAAAGAGAAAAUCACUUUCUUGUGUAUAUAUGUUUGUUUGAUAGGAGAAAUUUUGAUAGAAAAUGGAUGGUUAGCGGCACUAUAUUGUAAAUAAUCAACAAUUUUCCUCCAAAAUCCUGCAGAUUUUGCAGGACAAUAAAUGCAGAAGAGUGAAGAAACAUUGCCUAACUUUCCUUGUAUUAAAAACAAAAAAAAAAAGAGUAACUUUCUUUCACUUUUCCAUCCUGUUCACUGCAAACAAACACAAACUUAGGCUUUCAGCAUGAUUGAUUAUCUUUAAUGUACAGAAACCAUGAUCCAUUGGGGUGUUUUAUGAUAAACAGGUAGGACCUAAAAUUUGGGUUAACUGUUUGCAAUUGUAAUCAUGGUAGUAAAAAAUCAUAUUUUAAGGGCUUGUCUAUCAAUGGAGAGCAAAGAAUGGCCACUGACUACAGUGACCUUUCUCCUUUUCUCCAUGGCAUUGGCACAUGCUUAGAUUAUAUUCUCAUUCCGCCCGUCCCCUUCUAAGGUCCAACCAAGAUCAAUGUAUUGAAAAACAAUAUGCUUGUGUCAUAUGCAUUUAAAAGAAAAGUAAUGAACUGUCUCCCCCUUUUUGUGUGUGAAACAAUGAUCAGUAGCUGCAUUUGGACGGAGGGAUUUGACAAAGAAUUUGAAAACCUCUCAAAUCUUUUUUAUUGUUUACAUUAUUUAAGAGGCACUCAGAUUCAUAAAUCGACAAUUAUUCUAGUAUUUUUAAAAUAUAUUUAGAUAAUUGAUGAAUUAUAAAACUAAAUGUACUUUUACUGAUCCAAACAACUAAAGCAAUUUUGGUAAAUUUCAAAUCUCUCAUUUUCAUCCUAGGGAGUAAUAUAUCAUAUGUUUAGGAAGUACAGAAAGAUGAAAUGACAUGGGAAUUAAUCACACGCAGACCAGUCUGAUAAAGAAAAUGUAGUGUCACAGCAGCCUUAUACUGAAGGCAAAGCCUCCAAUUUAAUUAUGUUGAGAUCAGGCAGUUGCUUCUUAUUAGGCGUAGUAGAGCUUGUUACAUGAUCUUGCAACAUGCAUAUGCCUUGAGGAUGAAGAGCAUGGCUCAUCCCAAUUCCAUGUGAUUUCAAGGGAUCCGAAGAGCUCAGCACUGAGAUUAAAACAAGCGGACAAAGAUUAAAACAAUUCAUUCUGAUAACUUCUAACAAAGAAAGACUGAUCAUUUGGCAGUAGAAUUUACCGCGAUACGCUUUUUUAACGCUGCUAAAAACUCCUUUGGAUCAGCUUUUGUCACUUUAUAAGCCUCAAUCUUAUCAAUUUCCUGUUGCAGAAGCAAGUUAAAUAGGUAAUAACCAACUAAACUGCUUCCAGUCCCAACAACAAAAAAAAAUGCAAUGAACCCUUGAAGAUGUACUCUUCUCCUAACCAAGGGAUUGUACAGAAUUUCACUUUCAGAUCAAGGAUAUCAUAUCAGCAUGAAAUUCAAAAGCAACUAUGUGUAUGAAUGCAAGUGGAAGAUUCCUAUCUCCAAGCAUGCCCCAAUUUCUUUAUGGUAUAGUCAUUUCAAUUCAUGCCUACUUGGAGGAUCAUUAACAUACUUAACUACAAACAGGAGCUGCAUGUAAAUAAUGCUUCCAGUUUAUUCCUGAUAAUUUUGUACAUAAUUUUGCAUGGGGAAAGUCUAAGAAAUUCUGUGAUUACCUCAAUCCAAGCUGCCAGUUUUGGCCUGCCCUCUGUAACAUCGUACUUCUUCACAUCCGACGCGAAGAGUUGGAACCUUUCAACAAAGGGCGCAUAAGCUACAUCCACCUGAAUUUGCGCAGAGAAAAAGAUGAAUCAACCUAUGCUUCUUCAAGAUAACAUAAAUACAACUUCAUAUCCCUAUCAUAAUGCUUGACGGAAGAACUUCAUUAACAAGGUAUAUGUGAACAAAUAGAAGUUCCCAAUUUUGCUCUUACAAGACUGAAAGUUCCGAGGAAGAAGGGACCAUCAUCGAAUUUGCCAAGGGCAUUCUCGAGGUAAUCAAAAGCAGCACCUGAUCAAAUAAUGCACUUUAGCAUCAAAGUUUACAGGAAUUAGCAGCCAAAAUACAUGAUCACUCAACUUACCAACUUCACCGAUUCCAUCUGCUCUGAAAGAAGAAAAUCCAGCUCCAUUAAAGGAGUCGGAGUAGGACAACAAAUGUUCUGCAAACUCUCUCUUAGCGGGGUCCUACAUAUUUGGUCAGAGAACUCAAAAUACAACCCACUGCAGAAUGCAGACUAAGAGCAGCCAACUUAGCUCACCAAAAUUUAACUAGAAAAUUGUUAUGAAUCUUACGUUAGGAAGAAGUGAAGGACCUUCAAAGUUUUCAUCGAGAUAUUUGAUUAGAUCAAGAGACUCUCCUUUGACUUCAUUAUUAUGUACCAGAGCUGGCACCUGCUUGAUAAUGGAGCAUAAGAAAAACCCCAUGUGAUUGAUACAAAGUAAACUACAUGUAAUAAUUGGCUGCUGAAAUGAGAAAUGAAACUUUCAUCUCAAUUUCAAAUAUUAGGUACAGUUGGUUAUCAAGAAAUCUAUACAUAUCAGUCCACAGGAAUUAUUUAUAAACCAAUUGAAAUUUCCAGGCUGACGCAAGCAGCCAUGGCUCCUCAAACAGUACAAAAGUUUCUGGCUGGUUUUUGUGAACAUUUAGCAUGAGUCUGAUAUUGCCGCAGAACAAUUAGCAUCAGAGAUCUCACACAACAUGGUGAAAUUAAAUAAUACCCAACCUUGUUUGCUGGGUAAACUUUCUCCUUGUACCAGGCUGGCCUAUUCUCUAGGUCCAUAGCGAUCAAUUUUAUUUUAUCUUGCAAUCCCUGCAAACGCAAAUCAGAAAUUCACAAAUCUGAUUAUUAGAUCAAGCAGAAUCACCAAGGUCCACAAGAAGUCCCCAACAAACCUUAUAAUUCCUUGUGAUCCACACACGUUGUGCAUACGGGCAUAUGUAGGCUGUGAACAACCUAAUAUCAAGAAAUGAAAUAUCGUAGUGUCAAAAUAUUAUCAUACUCAAACGAACAAUAGUCACUGUAAGAUUUCCAUGUUGUGAUCCAAAAAUUUUGGAAAUGACCAAAAAUUUCGGUUUCUUCCAGUUCGAUGCACAUAUUGUUGAGAUUUUAUCCAUGUCCCUCGUUGAUUCUCAGUUCAUGUGUAGGCAGGUUAAUAACUUUUUGAUCUAAAUCACUGGGCCAAAAUGCUUAAUCCAACUUUACUAAUAUCCUUGAUCAAUCCGAUGUAAGAUGCAGGCCACUUGCAUUAAAAUGAACCAAACUGAGACAAAGUCAAUAAAACAAGAAAAAGCGGUGCCAUUGAUGAUUCUCUUGGGAUUAAGCACUCACUUGGUGGUUCCGUCAAAGAUGUCAGGAGGUGGUUCUGAGGAAGAAUCAAGCGAAGGUGGAAGCACCUCUUUGACACUACGAAAACAAAACAUACCCAAAUCAGUAACAAGAUCCAAAAUUAAACACACCGAAGCAUUCAAGAUAAAGAAGAAACAGUGAACAAACAAAAGUUGGGAUUUAAUUACCCAGAAGCCAUUGCUGAAGCUGACAGCGAAGAUAUUCCGAAAACUUUUUAUCUUGCAAAGGAAGAAUUGGAUGGUGGUAGCAGUAGCAGUAGUACAAGGAUUCUUAUAUUGCCAUGAUGAUUGCUUAAUUUCAAAGUGGCCACAUAACAUUCAUAUUUUUCACGUGUGUUUGCAUCCCAAAAUCGUGCUUUGACUACUUGAAAUGCGGACUGUGUUGCAAAUCUUCGGAUCUGAACAACUGAUAGCCAUCCAUUAAGUGAUAGACCAUCUGGUCUUGGGGUUCAUCCGGAACUCCAAGUCUAGUGGUCGAAUCCCACUUAACUCCGGGUGCGUUUGGGGUGGCGGUGUACUUGGGUGCAAAGGAUUAGUCGGGCCGCCUUCGGGUCUUGACCCGAACACCCCUGUAUUGACAAAAAAAAAAGAUAGCCAUCCAUUAAGAAUUUAAGAUGUAGGUCAGGUAUUAAAUUUUUUAAAAGAAAAAAAAUUAAUUAAGAAAAGUAUAUAUAGAUAUAAAAUAAAACAAUAAUAAUUAGUGUGUGCAUUCAAUAAUUAAAGACCCUACUUUCUCUUCAUUAAAGAAAAAGGCCAACUCCUGUAUGUAGGUUGGUAAGGUUGGUAUCUCUUUUUUCUUUUUUUUUUUUGACAAAUUAUUGGCUAAAAUACUUUUUAAAAAAUUCUCAAAUUUUGGUACUAUUUUGGGAUUUUUUUAGUGUUACUUAUUGAAAUUUUUUUUGCACAAAAAUUAAUUAUUUUUUUUAACCGACUCAAAAAGCAUGCAUGUAAUUUUUUUCAUGUAGUGGUACGCAAAAAUCGUGAAGUCAAAGGAGAUUGGUAACAUAUUACAAAGUUGCUAGCUGAAAAAUAAACUCUUGAAUAGUAGAUGGACACAAGAACAAAGAACACAUUGGAGAGACCUUGGAUACAUACAUUUUUUUUUUGUUUGCUUUAAUUUCCUUAGCUACACAUACAUUUAUGUGUGUGUACGUACAUAUCUACAUAAUCUCAAGUCCCAAAAAAAAAAAAAAAAAAAAAAGGAAAACACCUUCUUGUACAUUUCCCGACGUUAGGAUAAUGAUAAUUUUGUCUAAAGUUCUAAUACGUAGAAAUAUAAUAGAGGCAAUUUCGAAACAUUUGUAAUUUGUAACAAUCAAACAUAAAUUUUGACCAAUGAGGGGGUAAGGUGCUCAAAAUUAAACAUUAGAGGGUAAAGUAGUUUUGAGAGCAAGCAUUAAGAGCAUUUACUGCCAUAGUUUUUACAAGAAAUCUAUUUCCAGGAUUGCUAUCCAUGCAACCAAAGUGAGAACUAAGUGAUUAUUUGGAGGAGGGAUGAAUUGGGUGAUUUUGAGGAAUGGAGUGUAAGUUUCGGGUUUCGGGUUUCGAGACCUUCUACUUAUGCUAAAAAAAAAAGUGAUUUAUUAUAUUAUCAUUUGUGUUUCCAUCAGUAACAAUCGCAAAUUUGGCUGGCAUAGGAAUCGAAUCCGCAGACAGGUCUUGCCUGAUGACUUGGUCUCCAAGAAGAAUUUUAACAAUUUGCAAAUUUAAUUCAGUUGGUGAUUCUUGCUGUUUGAGGUAUCUUGAGAAAAGAAUUCAACAGCUGUUAAGUGCUGCUGCUACGUGUAAGCAUCAUGCUCCCAAACUCAAAGCAUCUAUUGCCAAACCCAAACCCAAACCCAUUUUUAUGUAGUAGAUCCGAAUUCGAUCCGUAUGUCCGACGGGUCUUGACCUUUGAGUCUCGGAACUAGGUCCAGGUUUACCAGAAAAGAAAAAGUUCAAAGUUAAACAUUUUAAAAUUAAAUCCAAAACCAAUCAUAAAUCCAAUAAAUCAAUUUACAAAGUCAUUACUAAAUUAUUAAUUUGGUAAAAGAAUGUAUGUAGAAAUAUUUAUAUUUUAUAAUUACUAAUAUAUUGUUCGGGUCCGGAUCGAAUAUUGGUCGGAAUCUUAUAUUCUGUAUCCGACCCCUUCUUUUUGUUAGAGUAAACAGGUCUGAGUCCGGGUAUCGGAAUUAUAUUUUUCAGCCCAAACCCGAAAAAAUUUAUCUGACCCGAGUCGGGUCUAGGUCCAAACCCGACCCAUUGACACGGUAAUGCUUCCAUUUGCCAUUACAUUGACGGACUUAAUAGUACUUCAAAACCUUAUUCAUGUUUCUUGCCAAGGACUAAUAUAUCAUGCUACGGUCAAAUGCACAAGAAGAUAAAAGGACACAGUAAAUUCUCUACAGACCAGCCGGAUAACGAAAAUACAGGUGUUACAACCUUAAACUGAAUACAAAAAGUAUAGAUGUUAAAUAUAACAAUAAUAUGUCUAUUGACUUGAGACAGUUACUCUUGUGACAGGCGCUUGAGAUGUGAUCCAGCAACAUGCUUAUGCCUUGAUGAUGAAGAGUGUAAUUAUCCCAAUUCCAUGCGAGAUCAAGGGAUCCGAAGAGCUCAGAACAGAGCCUAGAUACGAUUAUAAAGGUCAAAGAAAUUCAUCCUGAGGAACUUCUAGCAAAGGUUGAAUCUGUAACAAAACAGAAAUCAUUUGCUAGCAGAAUUUACCUUAAAACGUCUUUUCAGAGUUGCUAAAAGCUUGUCAGGAUCAAACUUUGUCGCUGUAUAAGCCUUAAUCUUAUUAACUUCCUGUAAGAGUGAAACGAGUAGGUAACAAACAACUCAAGUGCUUCCAGUCCCAAGGAAAAUGCAAUGAGCUCUAAAGUAUGUACUCCUCUCUUAACCAAAGUGAUGUGUCAACAAUAGUGCAAAAUAUCACAUUCAGAUCAUGGAUGCCAUGAUCGGUAUGGAAUUCAAAAAAAAAAUGAUACGUAUGAAGAUUAUUCUGUCCAAUAUGCCGAACUGUUUUGUGAGACCAAGUCAUUUCACUACAUGCUUGGAGGAUCAUUAAGAAUUGAAGGACUUAGAUGACAAAUUAAGAUCUGCACUUGAACAAUGCUUCCAGUUUCUCCCUUAAAAUUUUUCUAAAUGAUUUUUGUAAGGGAGACUGCUAGUAGAUUCUUUGAGUACCUCAAUCCAUGCUGCUAGUUUUGGCCUGCCCUCUGUAAUAUCAUACUUCUUGAAAUCCAAUAGGAAUGGUUGGAACAUUUCAAUGUGUGGAGCAAAAACCAUAUCCACCUGAGUUCUUCAGGAUAUGAAUCCAACUUAUAGCGAAUCCAAACAUCAUUCUGAUUUCUUUUUUCAUAUCCCUUUCCGAAUGCUUGAAAGAAGGACUUCAUUCAAACACGAUCUACGUGAAAUUAAAAAAACUAUAGGGGUCCAUUGCACUUACCAGACUGAAUUGUCCAAGGAAAAAGGGACCAUCAUCAAAUUUGCCAAGGGCAUCCUCAAGGUAAUCAAAAGCAGCACCUGAUCAAAUCACCUACUUGAGUAUCAAAUAUGACAGGAACUAGUAGCCAAAAAGCCAUGAGCAUUCAACUUACCAGUUUUACCUGCUCCAUUUGCCAUGAAAGAAGAAAUUACACCUCCAUAGAAAGAGUUGGAGUAGGAAAGCAACUUUUCAGCGAACGCUUUCCUGGCAGGAUCCUGUAUAUUUAGUUAAGAGGACUUGGAACACAAGCUAUCGAAAAAUGCAGAUAAAAAGCCGCAAAUUUGCUCACUGAAAUUUAACAGAAAGAUGUUACUGUUAACAGGUAUCUUGGGAGGAAAACAUCUAGUCACAUAUUAUGAGUGACCAACUAGUAUUUAUAGGAGUACAAACCUAACCGACUAUUUACAAGAAUACCCUUACUAAUUUAUUAUCUAUAAGAAUACUAAUAUUCUCCUAACACUCCCCCUCAAGUUGGAGCAUAUAUAUCAUAAGCACCCAACUUGUUACAAAUGUAUUUCACCCUAGAGCCCCCUAAACUCUUGGUAAAUACAUCAGCCAAUUGAUCUACAGACGGUACAUGAGAUGUCUUGAUGACCCCGUCAAGCAAUUUCUCUCGAAUGAAAUGACAAUCAACUUCAAUAUGUUUUGUCCUUUCAUGAAACACUGGAUUAGACGCAAUAUGAACAGCCGCCUGAUUAUCACACACUAAAUUCAUAGGCUGUUUAUGCUCAAACCCAAGUUCCAGUAACAUGCUCUUCACCCAAACCAACUCACACACAGUGUGAGCCAUAGCGCGGUAUUCAGAUUCUGCACUUGAUCUGGAUACAACUGUUUGCUUCUUACUCUUCCACGACACUAAAUUACCACCAACAAACACACAAUAUCCUGUAGUCGAUCUUCUAUCUGAGGCAGAACCAGCCCAAUCUGCAUCACUAUAUCCUUCAAUAUCAGUGUGUCCAUGAUUUUGAUACAGCAACCCUUUUCCAGGAGCACUCUUAAGAUACCUGAGAAUCCGUAUAACAGCAUCCCAAUGACUAGUACGAGGGGUAUCAAGAAAUUGACUCACAACACUCACUGCAAACGAAAUCUCAGGUCUCGUUACAGUGAGAUAAUUUAAUUUACCCACAAGUCUUCGAUAUUGCUUAGGAUCAUCAAGUAAUGCACCUAGAUCUCCUGCUAAUUUCACAUUGGGAUCCAUAGGAGUAUCCACAGGUCGGCAACCUAACAUCCCAACUUCACUCAACAUAUCGAGUACAUAUUUUCUUUGACAUAAAUAAACCCCAUAUUUAGACCGAGCUACCUCAAUACCCAGAAAAUACUGUAGAUGACCUAAAUCCUUUGUCUGAAAGUUUGCCUGCAGAUUGGAUUUAAGUUUCUGGAUCCCCACAACAUCAUCACCUGUAAUCACAAUGUCAUCCACAUAAACAACUAAUAAAAUUUUACCAGCAUUAGAAUGCCGAUAAAAUACAGAGUGAUCUACUCCACAUCUUGUCAGACCGAACUCCAUGACAACACUACUAAACCGGCCAAACCAAGCCCUCGGAGACUGUUUCAAUCCAUAUAAGGAUUUUUUCAAACGACAAACCAACCGCGGAUUCUCCCCCUGAACAACAAAUCCAGGAGGUUGUUCCAUAUAUACCUCUUCUUUCAAAUCUCCAUGCAGAAAUGCAUUUUUCACAUCCAACUGAUGCAAUGGCCAAUUAUAAGUGGCUGCCAAAGAGAUAAGAAGACGAACAGAGGUAAUCUUUGCAACAGGAGAAAAAGUUUCUAAGUAAUCUACUCCAUACACCUGAGUAAAUCCUCUAGCUACCAGCCGAGCCUUCAAUCUAUCAAUAGAACCAUUAGGCUGCACUUUUAUAGUGUACACCCAUUUACAACCAACAACAGGCUUACCUGAAGGACGAGGGACAAGAUCCCAAGUACCAUUUUGUUCCAAAGCAGACAUCUCUUCUUGCAUAGCUAAUCUCCAACCAGGAUGAUUAAGAGCAUAGGUAAUAGACUUAGGAAUGGAGAUAGAAUCAAGAGAAGCAACAAAAGAAGAAUAUGACAUAGAGAGACGAGAAUAAGAAACAAAAUUAGAAAUAGGAUGGGAAGUACAAUGUCUCUUACCUUUGCGUAAAGCAAUAGGAAGAUCUAACUCAGAGGAGGGCGUCAUACCUGGAUUUGAAGAUUGAGAGUUAAUUGGUGAAGUGCGUGGCAUAUCAGGAACUUUCUCAACCAUGGAACGACGAGAGUAAACUUGAAGAUGAGGACGAGAUAAUCGAGCUAUGGAAUCUGGUGGACUAGACAACUCAGGUAAUAAAGGGGAAGGGAUUGGUAAAACAGGAGAGGAAAAAGAGGGACACUGGUCUAAUUCACAAGACAUACUUUGCUUGAUAAAAUACGGAGUGGAUUCAAAGAAAGUAACAUCAGCACAAGUAAAAAAUCGAUUUAAAACUGGACUGUAACAUCUAUACCCUUUUUGCGCUCGUGCAUAUCCUAAGAAAAUACACUUAAUAGCACGAGAAUCUAAUUUAUCCAUCCCUGGAGCAAGCUGAUGAACAAAGCACACACAUCCAAAAAUACGAGGAGGCAAUUUAAACACAGGUUCAUGAGGAAAAAGAAUGGAGUAAGGUAAUUGACCUCCAAGAAUAUUAGAUGGCAUGCGAUUAAUUAAAUAACAUGCAGUUAGAACUGCAUCACUCCAAAAUUGUUUGGGCACAUUCAUGUGCAACAACAGUGUUCGAGCAAUUUCGAUUAAAUGCCCAAUUUUUCUUUCAGCAACUCCAUUCUGUUGUGGAGUGUGAGGACAAGAGGACUGAUGAAUAAUACCAGACUUAGUCAUAAAGGUAUUAAAAGGAGUGGAAAAAUAUUCUUUCGCAUUAUCACUGCGAAGUAUACGUACAGGCACACCAAAUUGAUUCUUUAUUUCUGUAACAAAUGCACAAAAAAUGGAAUAUAAUUCUGAACGAUCUUUCAUUAAAUAAAGCCAUGUAACUCUGGAAAAAUCAUCAACAAAGACUACAAAAUAUUUAAAACCUAACUUUGAAGUGACUCGACUAGGACCCCAAACAUCAGAAUGAACUAACAAAAAAGGUUCAGAAACCCGUUUAUUGACUCUAGGAGCAAAAGAAACACGAUGAUGCUUUCCUAACUGACAAGACUCACAUUCUAACGAAGAUAAUUGAUUCAAAGUAGGAACCAACUUUUUCAAAUUUUGUAAAGACGGAUGACCUAAACGACAGUGAAUUUCAAGAGGAGAAACAGUAGCAGGACAUGCUAUCGGACCAUUGAAGUUGAGAAAAUAAAGACCAUUAUGCUCAUGCCCUCCACCAAUCGUCCUCUUUGUCUUCAAAUCCUGAAUGACAACAGAAUCAGGAGAAAAAGUAACUGUACACUGUAAAAAUUUAGUGAGCUUACUAACAGACAUUAGAUUAAAUGGCAAAUUGGGUACGUAAAGAACAGAAGACAGCGGAAGUGAUGGAUUAAUUUCUACAGUGUCUAGUCCUUUAACUUUAGUGGUAGAUCCAUCAGCUAAAGUAACAUGAAGAAAGGGAGUAGACUCUUGAAAAUUAGAAAAAAUUUUAGAGGUACCUGACAUAUGAUCAGUAGCCCCGGAGUCAAUAAUCCAUGAGUCAUUACCUUUUUGUGCUAAAGAAGCAGAGGGAAGAGAUGCGUGAUUUGUAGCUUGGUACUGUAAGAAUUUAACAUAAUCUUCCUCGGAUAUAGUAACAGUUUUCUGGGACCCAUGUGCUGAAGAACUUGAUUCAACUUGAUCAGUGGUAACCCCAUUAGCAAAACUUUCAACCAUAGCGAAUAGCACUUCAAACAAAACAGCAAUCAAAAUUCGCGAUGAACAGUGCGCCGUGAACAGUGCGUCGUGAAUAGUACCGCGUGAACAGUGCGCGAUGAACUGUACGCGCGAUGAUGAACAGUGCGAGUGAACAGUGCGCGAUGAACAGUAUCGCGUCAAGACUUUUGCUAGAUAUUUAACCCUAACCCUAGGACUUUUGCUCUGAUACCAUGUUAACAGGUAUCUUGGGAGGAAAACAUCUAGUCACAUAUUAUGAGUGACCAACUAGUAUUUAUAGGAGUACAAACCUAACCGACUAUUUACAAGAAUACCCUUACUAAUUUAUUAUCUAUAAGAAUACUAAUAUUCUCCUAACAGUUACCAAUCUUACAUCAGGAAGAACUGAAGGACCUUCAAAGUUUUCCUCGAAAUAGUUGAUUAUUUCAAUAGAGCCUCCUUUAACUUGAUUGUUGUCGGCACCUGCUUUGAUAAUAGAGCAUAAGAAGAGCUCCAAAGUAUAAAAUUAACUACGUGCAAUGAUUAGUAGCUGAAAAUAGACUAUAAUCUCAAAUUUGAGUAAUAGGUACAGUUUGUUAUCAAGAAAUUUGUCCAGAUCAGUAAAUAAGUUCCCGAAACAAGGAAAAAAAAAAGUUCAGGCCAGUUUUUGUGGAUAUUAACAUGAGAUUGAUAUUGUUGUGGAGUAUUAUUAGCAUAGCGCAAGUAAAUAUCUAACCCCGUUUGCUGGGUAAAGCUUCUGCUGGUACCAGGCUGGCCAACUCUCUAGGUCAAUAGCAAUCAGUUUUACCCUAUAUUGCAAUCCCUGCUCCAGAAAAGAAUAUAAAAUGCAAUUCAGGAAAUUCAGAAAGCUGAUAGAUUAGACCAAGCAGAAUUAUUAGGGUCAACAAGAACUCCUUGACAAACCUUGUAAUUCCUUGCGAUCCAUGCUGCUUUUGCAAACGGGCAUAGGUAAGCGACGAGCAACCCAAAAUCAAGAAACGAUACAUUUUUGAGUAUCAAAAUAUUAAGCUUGAAUGGACAAUAGUUAAUGAAGAUUUUCGUGUUGUGAUUUCUGAACCGUAAAUAUUCCAACCAACCAAAUUAUCCAUUUCUUUCAGUCCCGGUGGCAUAAUGUUAAACUUGUAAAACUUGUUUUUCUCAUAUGAAAUAGUAUGACUUAAAGCCAACACGACCUUGUAAAAUGAGCCACAGUCGGCAUCUCAAUGCAAAAUUCUUGAUCCGCAUCUCAAGCUCAACUAGGACCAUAGAUGCCUUGAUUUCCAAUUCCAAGCAUAUAUAAUAGCAUAUCCGAGAUGAGAAGUGUCACCGUGUCCCACACCCAAACAAAAGUAUUGAUCUACUAUUGGACCGUUGUCCCGUUUACCUUAAAAAUCAAGUUAUUCCCUCUAACCCUCAAGCAUUAGAGUCGGUAUCAAACCAUCAAAGCGAGGGCCAAUGUUGUUGGGAUGUAUCUAGACAAGGAACUGCACGAACUGAAUGAUUUGCAGAGCUAAGUGGCUUAAACACUACAGCCAUGUAAAGGCCUCCUAGAAUCUCCAGCUCGAGUUACAUAAAUAACGAGACAAGUCCGGAUCACGGGCCUAGCUUCGUGAGGGUGCAAAGUCCCAAAAGGGUGGUCAAUCUCUCCACCCCCGGGUCCUAAAGAUGCAGGGCCAUUGCAAGGAAAACGCUGAAAAGAACCAAAUUGAAAGAAAGUAAAUCCCAACGAAUAAAAGCUGGUGAUAUUGGUUCUACGUUUGAUUAAGAACUUUCUUGGAGGUUCUAUCAAAGAUGUCAGCAGGUGGUUUUGAGGAAGAAGUAACUAGUAAGAGCAGGUGGAGGCACCUCUUUCACACUUUGAAGACAAAACGUGUCAGAAUCUGUAACAAAUCCAAAAUCGACAACAGCAGAGUAUCCAACAUAAAGAAGAAACAUGGAACAGGCAAAGUAUCGAUUUAAGUACCCAGAAGCCAUUGCUGAAGCUGAUUGUGAAGAAACUCUGAAAACUUUGUUUAGACAGUGAAGAUUUGGACGGUAUAGGAAUGGGAUUCUGGACAUGGUAUAAAUAGAAAACAGCAGAUGAAAGUUCGAGGCGUUGAAUCAGGAGGGAAUGAAGUUAUUCGAAUACAAAUAUUACGUGUGCACUGAUAAUUGAUGUUGGAAACUUUUCAAAAUUUGUGUGACGUACAUACAUGUAAUUUUAAUGUAUAUUCAUUCAUGUUUUGAUACAUGUAUAGUAUUGUGAAUGUUUCUAAAAUGUACAUUUAUCUAUGAAUGUGUUCAUGUAUAUGGGAAUCCUUGAAUGAAAGGAUAGAUUCAUGAUUUAAUCUUAAGAUCAUGAGAUGCAUGAAUUAAAGUACAUGAAUUUGUACACAAUACUUUGAAUCUAUUCAUACAAGUAUUUAAUGAGUUCCUUUGUUUCUUAAACAAUCUUCCUAUAUAAAGAGGUCAAGUAGAGAGUGGUUUGCUGCAGAAAAUCACUUUCCUACUAUUGUAUACUCUCUCAAAAGCACUCCUUAGUUCAAAAGGGUUUGUAUUGCACAAAGAGUGUAAGACAAACAAACUUCAUCUUAUCCUAAAGGAUAUUUAUCCAAUGUUUUUGCACGUUAUACUGGACAAAUAAAGCCUAAAGAAAAGUGAUUUUCGAUCACGAUUUGAAGCCAAUUCUUGUCACAACAUUUGCCAGUUCGUUGCAAUUAUUCCCAACAAUUGAUAACGUCCAAGUUGGCCAUAUUAUUAUUCAUGACAAGGGCAGCUAUUCAAAAGCUAGCAGGCUCUUUUACUUUUAUCCAACACAAGCUGGGAUAGGUGAUAAGUCCAAUUUAGCACCUGAAAUCUAUGGAAGUAUCUAAAUUGAGCCCCAUUCAUGAAUCUAAAUUUUGUUAUAUUGAGCCCUCGUAACCAUUUCUUGUUAUAUAUUUUCAAUUUGCAGUACUUUAGAUGUCAAAAAUUGCUUCCUUUCUAUUGCUCUAUUUUAUGAAAUUGUCUUAGUUUGACUUUAGGUAUAAGGAGUGAAAUCUGAAAAUUAUACAACUCAAGAAAAAGAGCUAACUCUAUUUUCUAGAAGGCGCAUUUCGUAGUUCUUUUCUUUCUAGAAAGCACAUAAGAGGUCAAGAAAUUUGCCAUAAACUAACAUAUUGGGUCCAUUUUCAAAGUCAAGAUAUUUGCCAUAAAUAGCAUAUUGGGUCCGUUUUCAAAGUCGCGUAAUCGAACACUACAAAUUCAUAGACGUCUGCCUUCCAGUUCCAGCACCCUCAUGACUUUUUAGUUACAACAAUGAGCAAAGCAUCAUCAAAUUUGAGGUUCGGAAACUUGUGGGUUUUGGGGUGGUGGACUUGGAAGUCAGCUGCCAAAGGAAGCAACUCAGCUCAGUUGCAGGGUUUUAUUUCUGUCAUUCAUGCAUGUACUAAUAGAAAGAUGACAUUUUUAAACGUAUACUUUGGUUACAGAUAUGUCUCGUACCGAGACAAACUGCGAUAGCAGUCUAAGAAGGCGGAGCUGCACCAUAUCAGGCGGGAUUGCAUUGCCUGGUUCUAAUUCUUCAGGCUUCUGGUGUUUCUUGUUCCUACUUCAAGAAAGUCCAGUUACAUAGGAUUUAACCUUCGAGCAUGAACCAUCCUCAACCUAAAAGGGAAAAAACAUUACCUGUUGGUUUUUUUUCAUGAUAACCGGUCUAGAUUUUUGGGCCAGUCGCUACCAAUUGUAAUCAAACUAGCAAAAACGUUACGAGUUGACAGGGAAAUUGAGUAGUGAUCAUUGCUUCGUCAGAAAAGGACGCAACAGUUUCUCUUUCAAGCGCUGCUCGUACAUGUAAACUCUUUACUGCUAAAGCACUAUUCCCAUUACAUCUUAUUAUUUCAUUUUUUGACUCGAAAAACUCGAAUCUUGAUCACAUUCCGGACAUAUGGUCUACUGGCAAUAGAUAGAAAUUGACACCUCCAAUUACUCACAAAAUUUUUGUGGCACUUCUAACAUUAGUAAGAAAUAAUUAUGAGGCUUUAGAAACAAGAAUAAGGAGAUGCUUCCAUUACAUUGAAGAUGUUGCAGUAGUUGAAAACCUUAUAAAAGUAUUGUCAAGGUGUAGCAUAGCUCAUCAUGGAAACACACAACGAUGAAAGAGCAUAAAAGUUGAAUGUAGACCAGUCUGAUGAGAAAAAGUAGUAUUACAACCUUAAACUGAAUGCAAGACAAAGUUGUAUUACAACCUUAAAAUGGAGGCAAAGCUGCCAACAGUACAGAAUGUAGAUGCAAUAACGUUUAUUGACAUCAAACACUUAGAAAGCAAAGCCGCAAAACAACACAGAAUGUAGACAUAAACAAAGUUUAUUUACAUCAGGCAGUUGCUCCUUGUUAGGCAUAACGCUUGAGAUAUGAUCCUGCAACAUGCAUAUGCCCUUGAAGAUGACGAGCGUGAUUAUCCCAAUUCCAAGUGAUUUCAAGGGAGCUCAGGCCUGAGGCCGGACACGACUACAAACAUUAGAACAAUGCAUCCCAAGAACUUCUAGCAAAUCUCAUGAAAGAGUAUAUCAUUUGGCAGUAGAAUUUACCGUGUCAAGACCGAAACGUCUUUUUAAGGCUGCUAAAAGCUCGUUUUGAUCAUAUUUUGUCGCUUUGUAAGCCUCGAUCUUGUUAACUUCCUGUAAAAGUAAAUGAAGUAGGUAGUAAUCAACUUAAGCGCUUCCAGUCCCAACAGACUGCAAUGAGCUCUGGAACAUGUACUCUUUUCUUAACCCAAGUGAUGCGUCGAAAGCAGUGCAGAUAUUAGAUUCAGAUCGAUGAUACCACAUCACUAUGGAAUUUAUGAAUAAAAGUGGCAGAUUACUGUGUCCAAAGAUGCCUCAAUUGCUCUAUCAGACCAAGUCAUUUCAAUUGGUGCCCACUUGGGAGGAUCAUUAAGAAUUGAAGGACUUGAUGACAAACGAUAUCUGCACUUAAAUGGCACUUCCAGUUUCUUUCUGACUAUUCUCUACAUGAUUUUGCAUGGGGAACUACUAGUAAGUUCUGUCAGUACCUCAAUCCAUGCUGCCAGUUUUGGCCUGCCCUCUGUAAUAUCAUACUUCUUCACGUCCAGCAGGAAGGGUUGGAACCUUUCAACAAAUGGAGCAUAAGCUACAUCCACCUGAGUUUGCAAAGGGAAAAGGAUGAAUCAACCUAUCAUUCUUCAAGAUAACAUGAGUACAACUGAUAGUGAAUCCAAAUACCAUUGUAAUUUCUUUUUUUUUUAAUAUCCCUUUCGUAAUGCUUGACAGAAGAACUUCAUUUAAACAAGGUAUAUGUGAACAAAUAGAACUCCCAACUUUUUGCACUUACCAGACUGAAAGUUUCAAGGAAAAAAGGACCAUCAUCGAAUUUGCCAAGGGCAUUCUCAAGGUAAUCAAAAGCAGAACCUAAUCAAAUCACACACUUCAGUAUCAACUUUUACAGGAAUUAGUAGCCAAAAGCCAUGAACACUCAACUUACCAACUUCACCAAUUCCAUCUGCUCUGAUAGAAGAAAAUACAGCUCCAUUAAAGGAGUCGGAGUAGGACAACAACUCUUCUGCAAACUCUCUCUUAGCAGGGUCCUACAUAUUUAGUCAGAGAACUCAAAUAAAAACACAAGCUAUCACAGAAUGCAGACUAAAAGCAGCCAACUUAGCUCACCGAAAUUUAACAGAUAAAUGUAAUGAAUCUUACCUCAGGAAGAAGUGAAGGACCUUCAAACUUUUCAUCCAGAUAUCUGAUUAGAUCGAGAGACUCUCCUUUUACUUCAUUAUUAUGUACCAGAGACGGCACCUGCUUGACAGUGGAGCAUUGGAAAAGCCCAACAGAGUACAAACUAAAUUCACAUGCAAUGCAAUAUGAUUUGCUGUUGAAAUUUGACUUUCAUCUCAACUUCAAAUCAUGCCUUGUACGUUUUGUUAUCAAGAAAUUUCUUGGUAUCAUAUUUCGUUGAUAUUAUUUGUCAACCAAUUAAGAUUUCCAGGCCUGACGCAAGCAGACAUAUGUUCUUCAAGCAGUAAAUAAUUCUUGCCGAGUUUUUCUGAACAUUUAGCAUGAUUUUGGUAUAGCUAUACUCUAUAGUUAGUAUCAAAGACCUCAUGCAGCAUAGCGCAAUUAAAUAUUCAACCUUGUUUGCUGGGUAAACUUUCUCCUUAUACCAGGCUGGCCUAUUAUCAAGGUCAACAGCAAUCACUUUUAUCUUAUCUUGCAAUCCCUGCUCCAUAAAAGAAUAUAAACACAAAUCAGGAAAUUCACAAAGGUGAUAGAUUAGAUCAAGCAGAAUCACCAGGGUCCAGAAGAACUCCCCAACAAACCUUGCAAUUCCUUGUGAUCCACACACGUUGUGCAAACGGGCAUACGUAAGCUAUGAACAACCUAAAAUCAAGACAUGAAACAUCUCUGAGUUUCAAAUUAUUACUGUAUAAUUCCAUGUUGUCAUCCGAAGAUAUUCAAAACAACCAAAUUUUUUGUUCUCUAGGUUCCGAUGUAGAAAACAUCGAGAUUUCAUCCACGUCCCAUAUUGAUUCUCAGUUCAAAGCUAUCAAAGUUGUUCAUCUCAAAUACAAUAUCACUGAAGGCCAAUACAGGCUUCUAACAGUAGUCAUGGUUAGCAACUCAAUUCUCAACCCAAAAUUCUUGGUUGGCCAUCUCAAAGUUAGAUCAGGACAUUAAAAACCUUGACAAACAUCUUUGAUCGAUCCGAUGUAAGACGCAGGCCAGUUACAACAUACAAGGUAAAAAAGAGAAAAGAACCAAACUCAAAUAAAGGAAUUCCCACCAAGUAAAGCUGGUGCUAUCGAUUCCACUGGCAUUAAAGAACUUACUUGGUGGUUCCAUCAAAGAUGUCAGCAGGAAAUUCUGAGGCAGGAUCAAGAGUGGGUGGAAGCACCUCUUUCACACUUCGGGAACAAAAACAUACCACAAUCAGUAACAAAAUCCGACAUAAAAAACAGCAAAGUACAGACAAACAAAAGUCUUAUUUCAAUUACCCAGAAGCCAUAACUGAAGGUGAUGGUGAAGAAACUCUGUAAAAAUUUUGUCUUGAAAGUGAAGUUCUGUAUGGUAUGCAAAUGUGGAUUUUGGACAGAGUAUAAAUAGUCGAAGGAGAACAACAUUCGAGGCCUUAAUGAAUCAGCACCGAUGAAUCGAGUCCUCGUGGAAAUGUAUGGUUCCAGGAUAAUUGAUUAUGUUCAAAGUGGCCCAUACAACAUUCACCUUUUUCUAAAGCCAGUCGGGAUUGCUUUGACAUUAAAUAUUAACACAACCGAUUGACAUUUGACAGAUAGUUGUUACCCACUUUUAAUUAUUACAGCAAAGACUUGGUGACGAGGGACAAUGGAUUAAUAUGAGGCCAACAUCCAGAAAGAAUCCAAACACCAAAUAAAUCGAGCUUUGGAAUAAUCUUUGUAUCAAACUUGUGUAGUAUAUCAUUUCUUGGGGGGAUGGUUUUGCAGAGAGCAACAACAUAUUUGAAUGGAGAGAUUUAUUGAAUGGAAGUACGAAGAAAUUCUAGAAGAAGCAUAUAAGAUGUCAACAUAAUCGCCAUAUCCGCGAAUUUAAACUAAAACAUUGCCUACCUUCGUGUUUGUAUGAUGGCUUUACGAAUCAAAGUAUUCUUCUUGAACUAUUGUAGCAUGGCUUGAUACUUCGUUGGAAAAAGACUUGGAACUACAGAAGUGGCUUUAUGUUUGCUCACCCACACAUGACGCGCUAUAACCUAGCAAAAGUUUUAAAAUAUUAUUUAUCUAUUUGGUACUUUAAUAAGGUCAUUGUGUACAUCAUUGUUGAUUUAUUUUAUUUUAUUUUAUUUUAUUGACAAAAGGGUGGAUCUCUUUUGCAAAAAUGUCAUAGUUAUGAGGUCGAUUGUAACCGUAAAACAUUAACACUGGGCCCACUUUCAUUUUUUUGUUUAAUAUGCUUAAAAUUUUCCUUUUAUAUAAAAUGUUUUGAGUGAAUUUGAGGAAUUUUAUAAAUUGAUUAGAAUGUUUGAUUUUUUGUUUGUUGAGAUUGAUGGCUUGAAAAUUAGAAAAACAGAAAGAGUUUAAAAUUGUAGUUAAAAUUAAUUUGAGAUGGUUUCAAGGUGCACAAAAAGUUAUUUUCUUCAUCUUUAUAGUAUUUUCUAUUGAUUUUUGCAUGUUUUUAUAAAUUAUUAGAAGUUGUAAAUUUUUAAAUUUUUUUUCCAAAUUAUAAAAUAAAAUCUAUUAAAGGAUCUCUUAACCCUAAUAAAAACUUAUAAUUUUUCAUCAAAGAAACAUAUCAGUCAACUUUUCAAAUGUUAAGAGAUUUGAAAUUAAUUUGUCGUGACAAUUAAGGGAUCAUAACAAAAGGGCUAUUUUGGAAUGAAAUUAUUUUUACUCUCUCAUAACUAAUUUUUAAUGAUAUAUUUUGAAUUGAAUUGAUAAUGUUACAAAACUUUAAAAAUAAGGGAGGCGAAUAACAUUUUUAAACUUUAAAGAUACUAAGUGAUAUUGUCAGAAACUUAUAGUUAUAGAGGAGGUUUCUGAAAUUAUCCCAUGAUCAUAUAUAUGUUCUGCCAACUAGUUGGCAUAUGAGGUUGGCAGACAAGUUCAUUUCCAAGCAUGGACAUAGUUUGUUAGGUUAAAACAAUUGCAGCAAGUCCUGCCCUGCCCAAAGGGUUUGUUUAGGUAUGGAAUUCUUUGCAAGAAAAUUUUUUGAUUGUAAACACAUUAUUAUUAUUUUUUAAAAUUAUUUUCUAAUUUCACAUCUAUCAUAUCAUAAAAAUUAUUAUAGUAUUAUUAUAAAAAGAAUUCUGAAUAAUCUCAUGUGUAGGUUUUUCUCUGUGGUUGCAAGACACUAUAGAUGAAUAUUUUGAAUGUUUGAUUUGUACCCCUUUAAUUUUGUGUUUGAUACUAAGCUGAGACUUGGGGUCUUUUCAUUUCAUUUUCUUCUUCUUCACUGGAAUUUAUUUUAAAAACACAAUGAUAAAUACAAAUAUAAAAAUUCUUGAAAAAUUAAGAAAUAGGUUAUAUUUAUCGUAUAAGUUGAUGUGUCACUUAAAAGUAGAUUUUUCUUUUCACUAAAACUAGAGACUUGAUCAACAUACGGUCAUGUACAACUGUGCAACAAAGGGAUAAGCAGAGCUCCAUAGACUCGCUAAAUUGCAGAUUCAUGAACGAUCAAGAAGGGAAAAAAGCAGCAUCCCCCCAGUCGUCUCCCAGCACUACUUGGGUUUUCAUCAUUCCUCCCUAUUACCACCGGUUUGAUAAGGCCACACACUUUACAGCCCAAGAAGCAAUCUAAAGGAGAGAAAUGCUGAAACGAUCAUCUAUAAGUACUAUAAUAGAAAGAUGCUUUUAUUAACUAGCAGUUGGAUUGGAAGACAAACUUCAAAAACCUCGUCCAAGUUUUCUGGGUAAUCUACCAAUUUUUGGGAAGCACGGACGCCUGAAAAGAUGUAUAGGUCCUAUCAAUCAAGAGAAUACCAAGCAUCCGUCAGUUGAGUAAAGAUAAAGCAGACUAUUAAGUCCGCAGAAGUUAUUCAAGCAGCUGCUCACAACCAGAAGACUUCUAACAAUGAUUACUGAGAUCAACUAGUGGCUUUUAUUACAGGUGUUACAGGCGAGGUACAACCUUGCAUCAUAAAAUUCCUCGGAGAUGACGAGUACACUUGUUCCAUUUCCAUGAAAUAUCUGGGGAUUGCGACAGCUCAAAACCGAGACUUCAUAUCAAAAGAGUUGGAUAAAAGUUAGAAGCAAUUCAUCCUUUAGCUCAUCAAAGUAGCUGAUAUGUGGUGGAAAAAUUUACCGAGAAACGCCUUUUGAAGGCUUCUGCAAGCUCCUUUGGGUCACGUUUUGUCACUUCAUAAGCCUCAAUCUUGUUAAUCUCCUGUAGAAGUAAUUUAACUAGGUUAUAACAAUCAACUGAAAGGAAGUACUUCUGUUACCUGCUGUAAGGGUGCCGCGUGCUAUAAAAGACGUACUCUAUCAUAAUAAAUGAUGUAUAAACCAUCACAGAGAAUACCAAAUCAAAAUCAAUGCUGAUUAAGAAAAGAAUUUAGUUUUGCAGAAUUGAUCAAGGGGUGGGUUAUUGAACCAACUUGCUUGUCUAAUAAUAAAAAUGGUGGAUAAUAUGUCCUAAAUCUCCCUGAUUUAAAAUCUAUUCAUGCAAUAUCCAGGUACAUAUGAGGUUUCUACAGAACGAAAUAUAUGUGAUUCUUUGUCGAUGAACGCUGCAAGUCAAACAUUACCAAGCUCAAAAAUCUCUUCCCCCCUAUCCAAGUUGCUUAUAUGAACACAAGAUCAUUACACUCAUGGAGGAUCACUAAAGAUUUUCAAGGACUGAAUGACAAGUAAAAUCGAUACUUUAUGCUGCCAUUUUUGGCCCGGUAAAUCUAUCCAUGUAGAACUAAAUUUUAUAGGCACCUGAAUCCAUGCUGCCAGUUUUGGCCUGCCCACUGUAAUAUCAUACUUCUUCACAUCCAACAAGAAGGGUUGAUACCUCUCAAUGAACGGAGCAUAAGCUAUAUCUACCUGAGAUUGCACAGAUGGAGCAUUUAGCACCCUAUGUUUGUUCAAUAUAUAGCAUGAAAUUUUAAAAAAUAAAAAAUAAAAACUCAAAAUCCAACCAACAUUAUAAAUCAUUUUCCAUUUGCAUAUCUGCUUCUUAUAACUUGACGGAAACACUUCAUUCCAAUCAUGGUGUUUAUCUCAAAUAUAAGUCCAAAGAUGAUACUUGCCAGACUAAAAGUUCCAAGGACAAAGGGACCAUCCCCAAAUUUGCCAAGGGCGUUCUCAAGGUAAUCAAAGGCAGCACCUAGUCAAACCACAUCCAUGGUAUCAAUUCUUCCAUGAAUUAUCAGUCAAAAAUCAUGAUCAUUGAUAUUACCAGCUUCACUAAUUGAAUCUGCCUUGAAAGAAGAAACCACAGCUUGAUUGAAGGAGUUGGUAUAGGACAGCAACUCUUCUGCAAACUCUCUCUUGGCUGGAUCCUACAGUUCCAGUUAAAACUCAAGCUAUUACAAAAUGCAGAUUAAUUAAGGAUCUUAAAGGAGCUCACUACAACUCAACAUUAUGAUGUUUAUGGAGAUCUUACGUCAGGAAGAAGUGAAGGACCUUCAAAGUUACCCUCCAGAUAUUUUAUCAGAUCAAGAGACUCUCCUUUAACUUCAUUAUUAUGUUCCAGAGAUGGCACCUGAAUGGGAAUAGAGCAGUAUAAGAUUCCUAAAGAAAUGUAGCAAUUACCAAGAGUAGUUGCGGUUGGUCAAAAGAGACUUUCUUUUCGACUUCAAGUGAACAAAUCAUCAAAUCCUGAUCAUUUGUGGGGCAGUUAAUGAUUCCAACUUCUGAUGCAAGGAGAGAUAUACAGUGCUUAAAGCAGGAAAUCAAUUCUGGCUGAGCAUGAUUAGUAUCAGAGAGCUAAUAUAGCAUAGAGCCAUUAGGUAAUCAACCUUGUUGGGUGGGUAAACUUUCUCCUUGUACCAGGCAGGCCUGUUCUGCAGGUCAAUAGGGAUCAGUUUUAUCUUAUCCUGCAAUCCCUACUCCAGAAAAGCGUAGAAACACCAAUUCAGUAACUCCAAAAAGUGUUACAGAAAAAUCAAAUCAAGUCCCUAGAACAAGGAUCGGGAACAGCUCCCCAAGCAACCUUAUAGUUCCUUGUAAUCCAUACACGUUGCGCAUAAGGGCAUGUGUAAGAUAUGUACAACCUAAAACCAAUGAAUCAAAACAUAAAAAAACGUCAAACUUAUGUGAAUAUAAUGACUGAAGGUAGUUCAAAUGUUCUAGAAAUAACUAAAUUUUGAAUUUGCCAAUUCCUCAUCUCAACAGUAGGAUAUUGCAUCCAUGUACAAUAUCCGACUCUCUUCGUCGAAGAUUUAAUGAGUUUUUUGUUCUCAAACAAAAUCCCAAGGACCAAAACAGCUUUAAGAUGGGAAUUAUGUUUCGGUAUUUCAGCAUAAAGUAAGUUCUCGAUUGGCAUAUUACAUUGCUCGAAUUGAGAAGUUGAGUAAUUUUAAUGUCCAAAUUCCAAGCCCAUGUAACAUGAUAAGGAAUGUCGGCAAAAUCCCAGAAGUGCAGAUAAGAGAAAUUGGAGCAAGUGAAAAUUUUUUAUCGACAAUUGGAAGUUUUAUGAUUUAAAUACUAGAUAACAAACAUACUGAAACAAGGAGAACAGUUAAAAAGACUUACUUGGUAGUACCAUCAAAGAUGGCAGGUGGUUCUGAAGAAGAAUCAAGAGCAGGUGGAAGCACCUCUUUCACACUUCAAAAUACAAAACAUCUCACCAUAAGCAACAGAAUCCCAAAAAUAAAAGCGGAAAAGAUGAACUGAUAGAGAUUCGAUUACCCAGAAGACAUUGCCGAAGCGGAUAGUGGAGAAAUUCUUGAAAAUUUAACAUGCGGGUGAAUAUUUCGAGGGUAUCUUAAUGGGUUUUUGGGUACAGAGCAUAUAGAGAAAACAGAAGGAAAUGUGAGGCGCGGAUUAGCAGCUGAUGAAGUUGGUAAGCUUACACUAGUGCCAGGUGUAGCAGCUGCCAUGAUCACAGAUGAACUUCAAAGUGGCCAUGUCGUGUUAAUUUAUGUCUCUGUUGGGCAAAUUCCACUUUACCCCCUGUGGUUUAACUUUUUUUGCAUAACCCCUUAUGGUUUCAAAAGCUAUACAUAACCUCCCUCGUGGUUUAGAUUAAAGUGUCAAAAUGACGGAAAUGAUCAUUCUUAACGGAGUCACCUAAAAUAUAAAAAAUACCUUUAUGUAAAAUUGAAAGUUAUUUAUUAAUCAAGGGGGGUUAUGUGUAUAUUUUGAAAACCAUUAGGGGGUUAUAUGGUAAAGUAUUAAAUCAUAAGGAGCUUAUCUAGUAAAAUAUAAAAAUUAUAGGGGGUGUCAUGUAUUUAUAAGGGUAAUUUCGACAUUUCUAGAAGUUCCGUUACAAUGACUAUUUCCGUUAUUUUGACACUUUAAUUCAAACCAUGAGAGAGGUAAUAUAAAAAAUCGCUAAAUCAUAGGGGGGUAAAAUGUAAUUUGCCCGUCUCUAUUUUUUAAUUUUUGGAUUGGCUUAUGAAGUGCGGAACUUUCUCUUGGAAUCUUUAUUCAAGGGGUGUUUGGUAAAUGAGUUUCAACUCCCAUUAGGUGUUUCAAAUUCAAUUAUACCUAUACAUGAUGUUUGCUUAGGGUCAAUGGAAUAAAUCAAUGGGAAUAAUAGGCUUAUUUCAUGGAUUUUAUGAUUAAUCACCUCUCACUAGAGAAUCAUCUUAACUACCCAUUUUACUCUACUUAAAGGUAAAAACACCCAUCUUAUUUUCCUUGAAUGUAAAAAUAAGAAAACAAAAUGCCACCGUUUGUGCUGGUUUCAACAAAUGGAAAAAAGAAAAAAGAAAAGUAAUAAAUUGUAAAAUCCAUUUCACAUUAACAAACACACUAUACUAUAGGUUUUGAUCAAAAUUCAUUAUCAUUGAACACUCUGUGACACCGAUAAUAAUAGUGAUUGUAGAAUUUGAAUCAAACGGCUCUCAAAUCAUUAAUAAGAUUGCCGGUAUUUCUUGCUCCCAGUGCCAAAUGUCACGACACAGUAGCGUAACGCUAAAACUCAGUAAAAUGAUAAACCCUGGCCACUACACGCCACUCGUUUGGUUGGGAGGUUUCGCACUCCUUAAUGGGAAUGAGAUGGUAGCGUUCUCCUUUGAUCAUGUUUGAUACAUUACUAUGGGUAUUUUCAUUGCCUACUUUUGGAUCUUGCAAACUCAAAAACUCACUAAAUUGGGAACUGUCAGUCUGAUAACCCACUUUUUAGAGGAAAAUAAAUCAAAAUUGAACUUAGAGAUUGUGAAGAAUCCGGAAAGGAAGAGCACGGGUGAUACAAAUUAUCCCCUCCUUGCUGGUGCAGGUUGCCCUCCCAAUCGGCUUCAUCCCUCUCGCUCGUCGAGGGAAAUGAUGCUUAGAGUUGUCUUUGUCCAUGUAUUGUUAGAUUUGAAGCAAAUUUGCAUUGAUUCACACCUUGCACAACAGCAGCAGUUGCUCCUAAAGUCUACCUGUUCAAUCGUCUUUUGCUCCUAAAGCUUCACCAUGGCUCUUUUUUUUUUCCGAAUUUUCUUAGUUUUCGCUCGAGUUUACCUAUAUAGAAAGCAAUUUUAAAAACACGAUAUGCCUCUACAAUAAAUACAAAUAUGAAAACUCCAAACAAAUUAGAAAAUGAGCCAUCAUUUCGUUUGCGUUUAUCGUGUAAGUCAAUAUAUCGCUUAAGAGUAGAUUUUUCUUUUCACUAAAACCAAGGCUUGAUCAACAUAUGAUAUGGUUAUGUACAACUGUGCAACAAAGGGAUAAGCAGAGCUCCAACGACUCAUUAAAUUUCAGAUUUAUCAUCCAACAAGAAGAUAAAAAGGCAGCAUCCCAAUUGUCUCUUAGCCCUAUUUGGGUUUUCAUCAUUUCUCCCUAUUACCACCUCUUAAUAAGGCCAAACACUUCACAGACCUUGAAGUAAUCUAAAGUAGAUAGAAAUGCUGAAACCAUAAUCGAUUAGUACUAUGAUAUAGAAAGAUGCUUUUAUUUAACUAGUACUCGGAAGACGAACUUUAAAUCCUCAUCCAAGUUUUCUGGGUCAUCUACCAAUUUUGGGAAGCCCGGACACACUAAAAGAUGUUCAGGUCCUAUUCAGAGAAUACCAAGCAUCCGCCAGUUUAGUUAAGACAGAGUAAACUAUUAAGUCCGCAGAAGUUAUUCAAACAGCUGCUCACAACCAGAAGAUGUCUAACAACGAAUACU
rnacentral:lncRNA from 1 species